CCUAGUAUUGGUCCGUGGAUGGAUAUAUGUAUGUGUGCAGCAAAUACUUUGGGUGCAGAAUCGCCGUAUCCAUGGAGAAGUCACGGGAGAAAGAAACUUAGGUUAAAACGAGGAAUGAAUUUUGCGUCCGGAGGGUCAGGAGUGUUUUCGGCUGAUCCACUGCCUAAUUUGACUGCUCAGGUCACUUUCAUGGCUGACCUUCUCCACGCCCGCCGUGUCUACGCUCCGGAAGAUAUUCAUCCCUCCGACGUCUCUUUCAUUAGCUACGCCGGAGGCGACUAUUUUGAUUUCAUCCUCCGAAACCGCCCUGCCGCUGUAAGAAACAUUCAUGCACUUCAUUGCAUCAUGUAUAUAUUCAUAACUUAUCUUCAUUGCAUCUUGCAUGCAGGAUUUGAAAGCAUUCAUAGAGAAAGUCAUGGAUAAUUUGUACGUUAGAAUGAAAUCAUUGGGAGAUCUGCUAUUUAAGAAGAUAGCAAUAUCAUCGCUGCAGCCGAUUGGAUGCAGCCCCUUUUUCUCCGCUGCAUCCUCAUACAAGAGUUGCAACGAGUCAUAUAGCGAAUUGGUGAAAGUCCACAACAAUUCGUUGAAAAAAGUCGUAGCCAAGCUUAACCAAGACUCGAGGCUUAGGAAGAAGGGGCAGCAUUACUUUAUCAUUGAUAUUCACAACGCUUUCAUGACCAUCUUGCACAACAAAGGUGAAAAUCCAUAGUAACGUAAGUUUUUUUUUAGUAACGUAAGUUUCACGUUUGACCUUUAAUAUUAAACCCUAGUUUUAUAGGAAAUGCAGGAAGCACAAGGUUUAGAAACCCAUUGGAGCCGUGCUGCCAAGGCGCUUGUGCGCGUGUGGAUCCUAAAGGUGCGAAGAUGUAUACCUUAUGUGAUGAUCCUAAGUCUUCUUUCUUUUGGGAUAUAGUUCACCCUACCCAAGAAGGAUGGAAAUUGGUUUACUCGGUAUUAGGAACCCUUUAACCGAGUCCUUAACCAAAGCAUAAAAACCACUUUUCGGUAUCUAAAAGCAUCAGCAACCGUGAUACUUAGCCCAUUUUGCAUCGAUACUUAGCCAAAAAGAAAAUGAAAAAAGUAAUUAAAAUGAAGAAGCGAUGCUUAUUUGAGACCCAUAAGCAUCGAUGCUUAUUGAAUUUAAUAAUAUUUAAUAGCUAACCAUCCCAAAAUCAGUUGCUCCAAUGUUCUAAAACGCCAAAAUGUAUUUGAGUUUUUCAAUAGAGUAAUUAGGUGAAAUCGCAAUACAAAUAAAAAUAAAAACUAAAUGGGACAUUUAUUUAAAAGAUAAUAAUAAAGCUAUUUCAUUGAUCAUGCUUACAAGAGCAAUUCGACCAAUUCAAAUCGUUUUAUCCAUUUCAUUUAACUAUUAUAUGACACAAAUCACCCGUAAUAAUUAUAUAAAAUAGCAUACUCCAUAACAAAAACACCAAUAAUUUUAAAAAUAUUAAUUUUAAAAGUCCAUUAAUUUUUGACAGGUUAAUUUCCUAAUAACGAUUUGUUAAUUUGUCGUUUUCUGAAAUAAAAAACUUUCAAACUCUUGGUAUCUAGCUAAUCAACUCUUUUGAUGCUUUUUUUUAUCACGUUCAGUAUGUUCUCUGCGUAGUUGUUGUUCUCUCUCUAUCGUUGGAUCUUUAUUUAUGUUUGUUGAUUAAUAUAUGUAAUGGUAUUUGGUAGAUAUUGAUUCGUUACUAUUCUUCCAAAACUAUACAACCUGAACAAAAUAUAUAGAAAUAAAACCUACUGGUAUUUUUUUUUUUUUGGGAUCAAAGAACCUAUAUAUUGGUAUAUAAGAAAAGGCAUACGAGGAUUUAAUAAACACGUUCGUUGGGACAAUAAAUUAAAGGGAAAAAGUAACUUGUCAAUAAUCAAGGGGGAUGUGCCAGUAUGCCAUUGACGUUAAUUAAAAAACUUAAAAUAAUAGAGUCUUUGUGUCAUUAGGCCGCCACGUUUUUUCCCCGUGUGAAUAUAAAAAUCACAAAGACAAAUAAUAAAUAAUUCUAAUAUCCGCACACCUACGAAUUCGAAGUGCACCGUGUGAUGAAGAAAAUCAAAUUAGGAGAAUCGAAAAAGCGAAGACCUAUAACCGUACCGUAGUAAUAAGACUUCAAAUAUGAACGUCAAAGACCAAGAAAUGGAAUAUCUUUUAACAACAUAAAAAAAACUAAGAAAUGGAAUGAAAAUGAAAUGAAAAAUGAAAAAUGAAAAUUCAAUUUCAACACUAAUAUCACUUUAAAUAUAACCCUAAGACGCUAAAUAACUAAACAACAUAAAUUAAUUACACCGCCCAAUUUUGACAGAAAAAGUCGUAUACAUAUAUACUAACCAAGACCAGGAAACAUGUAAAAAAUCCUCUAAAUAAGAAAAAAAUGCAAAAACUUUUUUGGAUCGAAGAAAUUUUUUAUUUAAGUAAGUAUAAUAAGAAAUCCAAAUGGUGAGAAACAGAAAAUGAAUAAAUACAAAGAAUAAAGAUACAAAAGUUGACCAGAUUUUUAUCGAAAUAAAAAAAUGACCAGAUCGUAGUCGUUUUAUAUCAAUUCUAAGGCGUAGUGGCUUACUAUAUAUAAAUAAAGCCAUUAUAAAGACAUUAGUGAGAAUACAAUCCAAUUUCAAUUCUCAAAGAGCUCUCCUAUAAACCCAUCUUCUCUCUUCCACUCACUGUCUCUACCUCUCUCUCUCUCUCCCUCCCUCCUAUCCUUUCUAUUUGUCACUAAAAGUGAAGUCUUUGCUCUGAAUCUUGAAAAUGGAUUCUUUGAUCAAAUUCUUCUUCUGCCUCUCUCUUUUCCUAUUCAUUUCUCUCAUUUUUGGUAAUUUAAUUUAAACUCAUCUUAUAGUUAUCAUCACAACGGAUUCUUUGAAACCCAUAUGUCCCCAGUUUUUUUAUUUUAUUUUUAUUUUUUGUGCAGGGGAAAUCAAUGGAGUCGAGGGCUCAAAUCAAAACCAUCACUUGUACGGAUUUAGACCAACGAAGCUGUUUGUGUUCGGAGAUUCUUACGCCGAUACCGGAAACAUUAGGAAGUCUCUCUCUAAUUCUUGGAAAUUUCCUUACGGUAUCACUUUCCCCGGUAAACCCGCCGGACGUUUCUCCGACGGCCGCGUCGCCACCGAUUUUCUAGGUACGUCUCUUCCUCUUCACAAUCAUAAAGUAGCAAUAUUAUCUCAAUAUUUCUAACUUAAAUUCUUAAUCAACUUUAUAGACCAACCAAAUAAAGUCUCAUGCUCUACUUACCUUACUGACUUUAGUUUUAGAAAUUAGUAUGCUGUAUUGCAACAAUAUACCCGAUUAGCAUUAGACUAUGUGGAAAUGGUUAUCUGAUUGAUUAGUGUUGAGUACCUAACUAAUUGAUGUUUAAGCCCCAUUUUUAAAUUAAUAACAGCAUGUGUUAAACUGUUAAUAAUAGGGUACAUAAUUUAUAUAUAUAUAUAUGUAAAUGAUGACGCGUAUUAAAUAAGGUACAAAAAACAAUGAUGGAAGAGUGGUCUAGUGUCAAUCCAGUGCGCGACUCGCUUUUGCUUUCUUUCUUCUCGCCAUCUUCUUGUUCCACUUUGCUUUUUUCUGAAGUGAUUUUUCACUUUCGGUUUAUUGAUCUUAAAAAUAUAUUUCUUUCACCCGAAAAUAAAAAUUAAUUUCCUUGCUAUGUAGAGGUCGGACAUAGCAUAUAUGAAUAACAGAUAAUCAGUUUGUUCCUUUUAGAUUCAUAGUAUUCGGUGCUGAUUAUUUUUUCCUUCUUUGUCCUUUAUAUAUAUAUAUAUUUUUUUUUUCCCAAAGGUUAGCUUUUCCAAAUUUUUUAUCAUAGCCACUACCACUUAGCAUCAAUAAAGCAAGACAGUUCAUGCUUCUUUUCUUUUAUAUCCAUUUUAUUCUUAUAAAUAAAAAAGAGUACUAUAAAGAUGUUAAAAACAGAAAAGAAAAAAAAGCAGCUAAACCACGAGCUUAUGCGCUGUCAGAGUCCAUACAAUUAGUUAACAUAAAACUAAAAAGUUAUAUCAAUAGUCUUUCUAUAUAAGUUACUUAGGAUUGAUGAAAAUGUAUUAAUUUUUAUUUUUGUCAACGAUUCUUGGAACAAUAAUACUGACCAAAUCUUACUAUACUACUGGUUUUAAAGUUGUACUAAUUAAUGAGUCUGACAACUGCAUAUGUUAGAAAGUUAACUCAUUUGAAGCAUAAUGUUGCAGUCUCCAGCAUGAAAGUUAACUGCAUGCAUUUUCAAUCUAUACUCGAAUUAUGGUAAAUGCUCUUUCUCGAAUCAUGCAAAUAUCUCAGAUUUUUUCCUUUUCUACAGCAAAAUUCGUGGGGAUAAAAUCACCAAUCCCAUAUUUCUGGAAAGAUUACGCGGGAAAGAAACGGUUACUACACGGUAUGAAUUUUGCGUACGGAGGAACAGGAGUGUUCAACACUCAAGUUCCAUUACCCAACAUGACCACUCAGAUCGAUUUCUUCCAGAAGAUUCUCACCGCCGGCGACAUCUACUCUACCUCCGACCUUAUUUCCUCCGUCGCUCUCGUCAGCGUCGCCGGCAACGACUAUUCCACUUUCAUCGCCCAAAACCGCCCUGCCUCUGUAAGAAAAAAAAAAGAUACAUUUCAUAUUUAUAGUGUUAAUCUCUAUUAAUCUUUGGUCCGACUUAGCUAAUGUUUUUAUUAGUGAUGCUAGUAAAGAGUUUAUACUGUUUAAGGGGUCUACAACUAAAGACUAUUUUACCCUUUCUAAUUUUAAGUUUAAAGCCCGGUUCAAGUUAUUUGUUUCCCUUUGUAACCCGGUUUACGUUUUAAGCCCGGUUCAACAGAGUCAAAUGUGCAAAUUCAACAGAGUCCAAUGUACAACUAGUCUGUUUCAGUUUAUUCAUGUUACUCAUUGCACAUUUCACAGGAAUUUCCGGGAUUCAUAAAGCAAGUGGUGGAUCAAACAGAGGUGAAUUUGAGGAGGCUCCACGCCUUGGGAGUGAAGAAAAUAGCAGUACCGUCGCUGCAGCCGCUCGGUUGCCUCCCAGGGAUCACCGUUGCCUCCUCGUUUCAGCGUUGCAACGAGUCACAAAACGCGUUAGUGAAACUUCACAACAGCUUAUUGCAACAAGCCGUAGCAAAGCUCAACAACGAGACCAAGCAGUCGACUUUCAUCAUCCUUGAUCUCUACAACGCUUUCUUAACCGUCUUCAAGAACAAAGGAGCCAAUCCAGGUUAAAAAAAAAACUGUCUUUUUUUGUUUAUCUACAAGAAACAACCGUGUCUUUUAUUCCUUGAGCUGAUUUGGUUCGUUUUGCGGAAAUGGCAGGGAGUACAACGUUUCAGAAUCCGUUGAAGCCGUGUUGCGUAGGCGUGAGCAGCGAGUAUCGCUGUGGAAGUGUGGAUGAAAAGGGAGUGAAGAAGUAUGUGAUAUGUGAUGAUCCUAAAUCUGCUUUCUUUUGGGAUAGAAGUCACCCUACAGAAGCAGGAUGGAGAUCUGUUUACUCUGUUUUACGCGAAACUCUUACCUCUUCUUUGAUUAAAGCGUGAGAAACACACACAAUAAGAACACUACUUUUUUUUUUAGGUUAUUUCUUCUGAAACCGCAGUGUUUGUUCUUUCUCUGUUUUUUUUUUCCCGGCAUCUCUUUAUUCAUAUGUGUUUUCUAUGUUGUGUGUUAACGGUUGUGUGACUAAUAAAAUCUCUAAACUUGUUCAUGUCUAUGAUUAAUUAGCAUCCUAUUUUAGCUUCACUAAGAGGGGGAAAAACAAAAACUAAUAAACUAAUAAAAACUGGGAAAUCAGGGUGGAACAUGAUCCUAAUAACACGCCAAAGAACUCUCAGUCUUAUUCUAAGACUUAGCCCAAAAAGACAGUUUCCAAAAGAUACGUGGCCAUUAAGUAUUGUCCUCUGUGUUUAUUAACAUUAGAGUGUAAAUUUACUUCUCAAACAAAAACAAAUCUCCCCAAUUUUACAAAUCUCAGAUAUCAAAGGGAUGGUUCAGAAUCUGCGUUUACGGUUGUUUAUACUCUGUUUUUACCUUGUUAACACCGCGUCUAAAGCAGUCACGGAAGAUGACGAGAGAAAGGUAAAAUAAUGUUAAGAGUGAAGAGAGUGAAUUAUGUGUUUGGUGUAUGAUGAGACAAUCAAUGGUUUUAAAUGACUGAAUCUACUCUCAUCCUUCUUGGUCUGUUUUUCUCUUUUCUUUCUAGCCUUACAUUGUGUACAUGGGAGAUGCAGCUGAGAAGUCUCAUGUUGAAGCUGCAGAAAAUCAUCAUAAUCUUCUAGUGACAGUGAUCGGAGAGUGAGAAUCAGUUCUUGCUCAUAGAUUAGCAAUCAGUUUAUCAGAACUUUUAUAUUUUUUUGUUGGGGUUGUUGCAGUGAGAGCAAAGCAAGAGAAGUUAAAAUGUAUAGUUACGGGAAGAACAUUGAUGGAUUUGUGGCAAGACUUUGUCCUCAUGAAGUAGAGAAGCUAUCACGUACGUAACAAAAACGUUUAGAAAAUUUUCGAGUUUAUCUCGAUGUGGUUUGUUGAUUUUUUUUCCCCUGACUGUUUCGUCGUAUGCAGGCGAAGAAGGAGUUGUAUCGGUGUUUAAGAACACUCAAAGGCAGCUUCACACGACAAGAUCAUGGGAUUUUCUAGGAUUUGUUGAGUCUAAAUACAAAAGAAGUCUAGCGGUAGAAAGUAAUAUCAUUGUGGGAGUUCUUGACACAGGUUAUUAAACUUCAAAUUUGGAUCUAAAGAUAUCGAUAAAACCAGAUUUAUAACACUUUUUUUUAUUCUUCAAAAAGGAAUCUAUAUCGACACACCGAGCUUCGAUGACAAAGGCUAUGGACCUCCUCCAGCUAAAUGGAAAGGAAAAUGUGUAACUGGAAACAACUUGACUCAUUGCAAUAAGUACAAAAAUGCUCUGUUUCCAUCUUCUUCUUAUUCCUCUGUUUCUGCAAUUCUCUUUUGUUUUCUUUUUACUUAACUCGUUUUUUUUGGAUUAAAUGUAAAACACAGCAAAGUGAUAGGCGCAAAGUACUUCCACCUCAAAGAAGAGAGUCAUUUCGAUAGCAAGGGACAAACCGCUGCGGAUUACGACGGUCACGGGACUCACAUAUCUUCCACAAUCGCCGGUGUUUCCGUCUCCGAUGCUAGCCUCUUCGGAAUCGCAAAUGGCACGGCUCGAGGCGGUGUUCCUUCUGCUCGUAUAGCCACUUAUAAGGUUUUUGUUCUCGCUUUCAAUUAGUAUUACUCUGUGUUGCCUUGGAGCAUUAAGAAUCUCUGACACAGUUAAAGCUCUGUUUUCAAAUUUUAGGUGUGUUGGGAAGAAGGAUGCUCGGACAUGGACAUAAUGGCGGCAUUCGACGAGGCGAUUUCUGAUGGUGUUGAUGUGAUAUCGAUUUCGAUCGGAGGAGCCUCGCUUCCGUUUUUCGAAGAUCCGAUUGCGAUCGGAGCGUUUCACGCGACCAAAAGAGGGAUCGUGACAACGUGUUCCGCAGGCAAUAACGGUCCUGCUCUCUUUACGGUUUCUAACCUCGCGCCAUGGGUAUUGACAGUCGCAGCUAACUCAAUCGACCGCAAGUUUGAAACUCUUGUCAAACUAGGAAAUGGACUCACCGCAUCUGUACGUACAGUUGUCUUUCAAGAAUCCAAGUAUCACCUACCUUGCUUGUAUGGCAAGCAAGUAAAUUAACAGUUGAAGGAUCUCAAUGCAGGGGAUUUCUUUAAACGGGUUCUCUCCAAGGAAGAAAAUGUUCCCUCUCACGAGCGGUUUGCUUGCGUCUAACGUAUCUGAAGGAGGCUAUGGAGAGCCAAGGUAAUUUUCAAAAACAGAGAGAAGACCUUUUUUCUUUUUCAGUUUUUUUUUUUCGAAACGGUUGUGAAUUGUUGCAGAACUUGUGAAUCCGAGACAAUGGCGGAAGAGAAAGUGAUGGGGAAGGUAGUUUACUGUGAAGCAGGACGUGAAGAAGGAGGAGCUCGUGGAGGUCCAGAUCAUGUUGUGAGAUCCUUAAAAGGAGCUGGCGUGAUCGUUCAACUUCUAGAACCGACUGAUAUGGCCACUUCAACUCUCAUUUCUGGCUCCUAUGUCUUCUUCGAAGACGGUACAAAGAUCUCUGAUUACAUCAACUCCACCAAGUAAAUCAAUCUCAUCUCUUUUUUUUCUACCUGCUUACUUCUACUGUUCUUGUUCCUCACACAACGAACUUAACAGAAAUCCUCAAGCCGUUAUCUUCAAGACGCAAACAACAAAAAUGUUAGCUCCUUCGAUUGCUUCCUUCUCAGCAAGAGGUCCUCAAAGAAUCAGCCCCAAUAUUCUCAAGGUUUCUCUUCUUCUUCUCUCUAUCUGUCUCUCUCUCUCUCUUUGUUCAUCCGCAAAUGAUUCAUUUUGAGCUCUGUUUUUUUUUUCUACAGCCUGAUAUUUCAGCGCCGGGACUAAACAUUCUGGCGGCAUACUCGAAGUUAACAACGAUAACGGGUUAUCCAGACGACAAAAGACAAACACUUUACUCCAUAAUGUCAGGAACAUCAAUGGCUUGUCCUCACGCAGCAGCUGCAGCAGCUUAUGUCAAAUCAUUCCAUCCUGAUUGGUCUCCAGCCGCAAUCAAAUCCGCCCUAAUGACCACAGGUAACUUAAUUCAGCUUAAACCAUCAAGUAAAAACUUUCAAAACGUUCUUAUAUAAAAGCAUUGAAAUUUCCAAUCUUUACAUUGAUCCUUUACAGCUACUCCAAUGAGAAUCAAAGGCAGUGAAGCGGAAUUAAGUUACGGGUCGGGUCAAAUAAACCCGAGAAGAGCGAUUCACCCGGGUCUAGUCUACGACAUCACCGAAAGCUCUUACCUAAAUUUCCUCUGCAAAGAAGGAUACAAUAGCACAACCAUCGGACUUUUACUCGGCGGUAACAACAAGACGGUUAAGGAAUACACGGUUAAGGAAUACAGAUGCGUGGAUAACAAGCGAGGGCUAGGAUCCGACGGGUUAAAUUACCCGUCGAUGCAUAAGCAAGUGAGUUCUACGGAGACUAAAGUUUCGGAGGUUUUUUACAGGACGGUGAGGAAUGUCGGGUACGGACCGUCGACCUACGUGGCUAGGGUUUGGGCACCAAAGGGCUUGAGAGUAAGGGUUGUGCCUAGGGUUAUGAGUUUUGUUAAGCCUGGAGAGCAGAGGAAUUUUAAGGUUGUGAUUGAUGGAGCUUGGGAAGAGACGAUGAGAGGGAUUUUGUCGGCUUCUGUGGAAUGGGAUGAUUCGAGAGGGCAUCUUGUGAGAAGUCCUAUUCUCUUGUUUCAGUCGGAUAUCGAUUACCCUUAAAACAUACAUUUGCUUUUAAUUUUUUAGUGUCUUGUCUUUUUUUUUUUUUUAAUAUUAGUGUUGUUGAAACAAUGAAACUCGACCUAGCUUUGCUCUAAUGUUUCUGAAAACAUAUAACAUUAUGAACAUUCCAAUACGUUGAGUAAAAAAAGAGUUGAAUACAUUAUACAAAAUAAAUAACAAAAAUCAUGCGAUGGAGGAGAAGAAAUUGAAAAAAGCAUAUGAACCCGAUAACAAAUGUCCAAAACAAAAAUAAAAAAAAUUCAAAUCAAUAACACAACUUUCUCAUACAACCGAAUAUAUUUAAGUUUAUUGGGGUUUAUUUCUAAACCAAACAAUCCAAGCAACCAAAACAACCAAAACUUAAAUGUGGAUUUUUUUAAGUUGCAAAAUGACAUAAAAGCCACUCAAUCUCAAGACAGCUCACACUAACACAUAACAGAAGUCAGAAUCUAGAAGCAAUUUGGUCUUUUUAAAUUUUGGUGGCGAAGGAAAGUCCUUCCUUCGACAACACGUUAAGGCUCUCAACUGAAGGCUGUGUUCGCGCGACCUUAGCAAUUGCCUUGUUCUCUUCAGGAGUUCCACCUUCCAAAAACGCUCCAAUCAAUUUUCCUUCUUUAAUCCAGUAGCUUCCGAAUUUCGGCUUAGGCGAUUUCGGGUCAUUAUCUCCAAACAUUACGGUUUCUCCAACGUUGUCACCAUAGAAUUGCCAUGAGAGAUCAAAGGCUCGAGAGUAGAAGUAUGGAAGAUAGUCAUAUUCAGGAAUCGAUUUCCCUUCUUCUGCGGCCUUGAUUGCCUACAAAAACCAUACAAUUUGAUUCAGUUUGGAUUCUAUAACUCUCAUUUCGUGUUAUCGUUUUGUUACCUUAACGGCCUGUUCAGCGGACUUGCGAGCAUGGUCAACAUGUUCAACACGUCUCAUUUCAUUGUAGAGUUUCAUUGGGAAUGUGGCUAUAUCACCAAUGGCGUAUACAUCCGGAACGCUUGUUUUGAAGAAUGCAUCAGUCUGCAUUCGAAGAAAUAUCUCAUGAGUUUAAGAUAAAAAAAACUUCACAAACUAUCUCAGAUACUGCAACAAAUGAAGUAUUUUUAAAUCGCAAACCUUCAAACCGCCUUUUUCCUCUUCAACUUGCCCUUUGAAGAGUGAUAUAAUAGGUCUAGCACCAACACCUACGAUCACUAUAUCAGCUUUUAGCGUUCUUCCGUCCUUCAAUUUCACCUCAGCGACCUGCAUCAUAAAGCAAAACAGCAAUUAUUAUUGUUUGAAUCAGCAGAGAGAGAGAGAGAGAAAACUGUUCUUGUGAAGCUUGAAUGGGGAUGCUAGCUGCUAACCUCCCCAUUUGAGUUUGUGCUGAAACCAGCCGCAACGGUGCCUUUCACAAUGUUGAUUCCCUUGUUGGCGUAGUAACCCUCGUAGAACGAAGCAAUGCCGGCAGUGAAAAGCCGAGGCACUUUUCAAAGACACAACAAAACAAGGAAAGUUGUUCAGUGAUUGGAGAGCAUAGGAAUGAGAUUUAUCUGUUAUUGGAUUGGGAUUAAAGUAUCCACUUACUGCACCAAGGUUCUGGAUAAACCAUGGUAACUUCGAGGUUGUUAACCUUCAGAGCAGAACUGAGCUCAAGACCAAUGUAACCGCCACCAACAACCACAGCUUUUCCGUUUUUCUUUACGUCCAUUGCAGUCACGAGUUCAUCAGCAUCAUCAAGUUCCCUUAGGUAGAAUAUAUUCUUAGCAUCUGCACCUUGGACGCCAAAAUCUGACAACCUUGUCACCUGCACAAUUUAAACGGCUUCCCAAUGACGAAAUGCAAAAAAAAAAAAAACACAUGGACGGAAACUUCCAAAUCAAGAGGAGAGAAGAGAGAAAGAGAGGGAGAGAUUGUGCUCACAGAAGAACCAGUUGCAGCUAGCAAAGUUUGGUACUUGAAGACUUGUCCGGUGCCACUAACAAGAGUUUUUGCAGCAAGAUCUGCUUUGACAAUCUCUGUGUCCAGAAUCAGCUCAAUCCCUGCAAACAAAAACAGAAGCAAUAGACAUUAUGAGUAGAGAGAAAUUGUGUUAUCAAGCGCUUAAAAGCACACACAAAAGAGAACCCACCGUUCUCUUUGUACCAUUGAGGGAACUGUUUCUCUCCCCCACUUCCAGCACAGACAUAGAAACCGGGAAGUGUAGCUUUAUCUGUGUACCAUGAGAAAAACAAUAUAGUUAAGAACCGAGCAAGGACAAAACUAAAACCAAUCGAUCUUUUAUUAUUACUCUCGAGGUUGAUAUAUCCCUUGCUAAGUGCAGGACGCUCAUAUGGAGGAACCUGCACAGAAUUACCAAAAUCAUUAAUCACAUAGAAGCAAAACAAGAAUACAGAAUAUGAAUCGCCAGAGCUAGCCUAAACAAACUUUCAAGGCCGAAUAGUCCUAGAAUUCAUCGAGGAAACUUACUUGUUCCCUGGAAAUGAUAGCAAGUUCACCAGGUUUCAGACCUUGCUUAGAGAACUCUCUCGCCGCAUAUCCCUGUGAUUCCAGAACAUCCAAACAAACAAAAUGAAAACUGAAUUUAAAACUUUGAAAUGUCUGAUUCGUCUGCUUAAAUUGGAAAGUUCUCGAAUAGUAGUAGCACAAUAUUCAUCUACUUCCUAAUUCUUCUGAAUCAGAAGAAAAAAAAUCAAUAGAUCUAGAGAUACUAUCAUCCCCAGAAACUACUUCGUAAGACAUGAAAACACAUCAAUGAUUCAACAACAAGGAAUAAUCGUGCGGAAUCCAAAGCGAAACAGUGAGUAGUACAUAGUGACGAUUCGUAAGCGAAGAGAGAGAGAGAGAACACAAAUCCAAUCAAAAGCGAACGAGAAGAACAGCGACUUACGGCGGCGACACCACCUCCGACGAUCACAUACUUGAAGCUCUUCUCUUCCGCCAUUGAUUCGAUGGAAUCGUCUUCUAAUUUCUUUCGAUUUAUGUCUCGCUUUUUUGUCUUUUUCCUUUGGAUCCGAAAAAUGUGAUUGGGUCAGGGGUUUAUAUAGGGUACCUGUCCAGUCUAGAAGGAAUCUUCUCACGUGGCUAAAUUUAAGCCGUUAGAUGUCCCGCUUUACGGAGAAAUCAAAAUCAAGUCAGGCGUCUAACAUUCUUGACCCGGUCUAACUUAACUUACACGUGACAGAUCAGGCUGGUGUGAAACGGACAAUCAUUUUUACAUUCCGGUACGACCCGGUUUAUUGAUUGAUACCUUUCAUAUUUGAAGGUCUUUUUUACUUUAUUAACUUAUUUAGAAAUAUAUUAAAAAAGGAAUCAUCAGUCUGCUUUGUCAGCAACCAUCACGCAAAUUGGCCAAUAAAGUAAUAACGCAAAUUGGCCAAUAAAGUAAUAGGUAUUUAAGAAGUCGAUGGGGAACAUCGGGAUUUGUGUAUUCUAGCAAUUAGUAAUUAUCUAUGCGAAACAAGGUUUAAUUCGAUUAUCAAUCUAUCAGUCUCAGUGAACCAGUAUUAUAAAAUAACCCAAAGGGUAACUGGACCAAUAGUAAAACUGCAGCAAAUCGAUAAAAAUGUAGGAACUGGUGAUCCACAGAACUGAUUAUUCUAGAUUUAAUGUUAAAUAUAGCAUCUUCUAUUUUUAAUUAAAAGUUCAUUUACUUCUUAUUCCAGUAAUUUUAUUCUUCCUACCGUUUGUAAAUAUUUUAAAUUUUACCGCUUUUAGUAUAUCAUUAUUUUUUUGGUUUGUUUGAGUAUUUGCAUCUCAAUGCCGCAAAUUAGAUUCAAAACCAAGGUAUUGGUUUCUAGUUCUUUUUUCCAGUUUAUUUUGUAUUUCGGUUUUAUGGUGACGGAUUUUUUUUCAUGCAUGCAUUAUUGAUGAUUAAGAAGAUGAAUACAGUAUGUGAGAACAAUAUACUGUAAGAUCUUAAUCAAUGGUUGUAUAAAUGAUGGGCUUAUGCUAAUGGGCCGGGCUGAUUUUCAGAUUUCGAGGAACAUUUUGUAAAUUUGCAGUAUGUUAGGAUUUGAUUACCAUGUGCAUUUUUUCCCUUUUUUCUAGACCGCGGGAGCUUUAGUUUUUUCAUAAGACUUGAUAGUGCUUUUACGUAUUGCAUAUUGUUGAACGAAUAUAGAAAAGAUAAAUGAUCUAAGAAGUUCGCACUUUGUGGGAUCCGUAUACAAAUUAUACCAAAACUUUAACAACCUAGGUCAACUAAAUUAUUAUUAUUUUAAAAAAAUUCAUACAUAACUUUCAUUUGCAUCUAUUAUAUAUACCAAUAAGUUUCAGGCUUAGUGCUAUGCACAAUGGCCAGGCAAUCUAGAAUGUCUACUUAGAAUGUCUUCAUUUCUUGACCAUAUACAGAGGAAAAUGACAUCUGCUAUGUAUUCAUGGUUAUAUGUGUCACCACAAAAACAACACUAAAAUUGGUGAGCGAUAGUAUGGUGGUUAUUAUUGAUAACGUUGGUUACUUUUAAACCAACAUUUGGUGAUAGAUCUUCCAUUUUUUUUUCUUGAGAAAAACAUUUGUAAUAGAUCUUUAGCAAAAAAAAAAAAAAACACUGACCUAAAAAUGAUGAUGACCACCCUAAUUAAUAUAAAAAGUAUGGUAAAUUAUUCAUUGUGGCCCCUUCCCUUUUUAUUGAUCUUCCUGGAUUUCCGAACAUUUUAAGCUUUAAGAAAACUAUAAUAGUGUAUGCUUAGAAAACCAGCUAAGCCUUAAGAAAACUAAAAAACUUUUGAAUAAUGUCUUUUUUUGUAGCUUAUGAAUAUUCUAUACUACUUAUAUUGCUUAAAAACAGCACAGUUCCCUCGAGCAAAGUGAUUUGUAUAUAUUUAUCUUUCUAGACUUAUAGUGAUGAAAGACCAGCAUUAUUGUCAAAUGGACAUUAGGUCCAUCAUUAUGGCCUUUUCUAAAAAGAGAUUAACUAAUUCUUAAAAAAAAAAGUAAUCAUACCAGGUAAAAAAAUCUUCAAUCUUCAUUCUUCAAUUAAAUUCGUUAAUGACAAAAUAUAUAUAUAAAUAAUGAGCCCGGAAGACACAUGUCAACGAAUUGGACGCGCCAAAAAACAGUAGUGAUCAACAUGUCAAUACACCCCAUCGAAUUAAUCAAAAUAUUUAUUAAUUUCGUUGUUACAUGAGACCCACAAACAUAUGAUAUGGGUCCCAUCUUUUGUUCUUCAAACUGCUCAGAAAAAUGCAGAAUCCUUGUGAAUCCUCUUCAGAAAAAAUACCGACAAAAAACCCAACAAAGGAAAAGAGAGAAGAGACAGAAGACGAAACUACAGCGUUUCCUGUCUCCCUGUUUCGUCAAUUAUCUUCAUAGAUUUCUUCAAUAAUCUAUCCAGGUACUCUUUGUUCAUUGAUAAAUCAAGAUAGUGAUGACAUUAGAGAGAGUAUCAUCUUCAUCUAACUUUUGUUUCUUUUUUUCCGCAUGAGUUUUCUUUUUUUUCCUGUUCUGGGGUGUUAUGCAAUAAUACAUGUUUGUUUUAUCCUCAUUAAAUAAGAAUAAAAGUAAAAAUCAUAUGAACACGACACGAGUAUGCCUAUCUUAUACAUGAACGUAGAGAUUCAACAUCUAUUAGAAUUGUUGAGAGAUUGUGGAACCAGAUUCUCGAGAUAUGUGACUGUUUCAUAGGUUAAGCUGGUCUGUAAUGUUCCUCAGUCAUUGAUCCAAAUCUAUUUUUAAGUUAAACUGCUGAUUUUAUUUUUUCAAACUGUUCUGUUCUGUUCUGUUAUGAUUUUGUGUUCUCUGUAGAUUUGGAACUUCAUCAUACAGAGUUUUGAUCUAUUCUUUAAUAACAAAAAAUGGAGAAUCUUUUUUCAAGUAGUGUUUUUCUAAACCUUUUUUAUCUGAUCUGUGAAGAUAAAUUUCAGGUGUGUUUUGGAUCAAAAAAAGAUGUAUAUACCGGAUUAGAUUACUCGCAUUUUCGCGGUUACUAAGAUGCUGUGUGACUGAGCUUUAUAAGGUUAUGGGUUCAUUUGCUGGAAAGUGUGAAAUCGUUGAAGAGAAAGAAGACCGCCAAAACUCGAUUGUUUACUCCACGAGAUCAACAACAAAUAUUCCACAUUCUGGAUCAAGCAUUGUUGACGACAAGGACCUGGAGCGACCGGUACUAAAAUUAGGUUACAGAGGUUCACUAGAAGAUGAUAUCAACCAACUUUUCGAGUCUAUAAGUAUUCGAACAUCCGGAAUGAUUCCUUCUUACCAAGUUGGUGCAAGCAGUAGCAGUAGAAACAACAGUUCUUUACCAAGGAACGCUCUGAAAAGUCCCGCGAAUCUCGGUGGACCACGAUCGCCUAGCAAGAGAAAUGCGGAACCAGCAACGUUAAAACAGGCUCUGAGAGAUUUAUGCGUCACUAAGGCAUCUGAAACGGCAGCUAGCAAACGGACUCCUAAGACUAGUACCGGAGGCUCGGUUUAUGGUUCGGUUUUGGUUGAACCAGGAAGUGGAGCUGGUGAAGAAGGAAAAGCGGUUCUUGUCGAGUUACUCGACGAAGCUCAAAGCAGUUCAACAGAGAGUAUAUCGCAGCAGCUUCGUCUUCUUAAGAUACAUUCUGCGAGCCAAAACUCUAAGCGGUAUUGUGAUGAGAUGACGAUGCUAAAGAAAGACAAGAACUUGUCUCUUGACGACCAAGAAUUGGGUAGGAGGAGCUUUGGUUCAUCAUCGCCAGGAUCAGGGAACAGUAAGACAGUGGUUGGACUGAAAUCUGUUAGAAAAGUGAGGUUGUUGUAUGCUAAUACACCCAACUCCACCAUUGUUAACGGCAAGAGAGUGGCUAAGUUGACCAGAACCAUUCCACGUGGUGGUGGGGGAGCUAAACCGGCGCUAAGGAGCAAAGGUUCCGUAAAGAAGAAGGCUGCAAAUGUGUAUGAUGAAGUAGAUGGCUUCUAUGACCCCAUUGCAAAGGAACUUCUUUGCCAUAGAUGCCAUUUCGCUUUGAAGAACGCUCCAGCUAAAGAAGAGACCACUAAAGAUACACCGGUGGCAGCAGAUGUUGAGCCAAAUCAGAGUGUUAAAGAAGGUUUUUUAGAUGAAUUGGCUUCUGAUUUCUCCAGCUCAAGCUAUGAGAGCUCUCAUGAGAUAAGUGCCAGUGCAGAGACUAAACUUGAUAAGAUAAGAAGCUCUGUGGAUUUGAUGAAUCCAGAGACCUCCACGGUUUCUCCAAGAGAUCCAUUCUGUAAUAAGAACAUGGAAGGUGUUCAUGAGUACAGAAACAAUGAGAUCACUGAGGAAGAUACUCUAUCCGGCAAAGAAGUUGAUCAGAAAGAUUCUGUCUUUAUGUCAGAACAGAGUAUGGAGAUUGGUUCUUUCAGUGAGAAAUCGGUUGUAAUGAAUCCAGAUAGUCCUCCAAAGAAACUCAGCUUAGACAGAGCAGCUGUUGAAGAUGUCAACGAGAACUCGGAAAUCGAAAACAAAGGUGAGGAAGGUAUAGGAUACAACAGCUCAAGCACGAGUAUCAGUGAGGAAGAACAAGAACAGAGCAAUAACAUCAUGACAAGGUCUAGCUUUGGAAACAGACCUCAUAUGUCUAAAGAUGUGAGAUGGGAAGCUAUUCAGCAUAUAAGGGCACAGCACGGGCUCGGUUCAUUGGGUCUUAGGCAUUUCAAUCUUCUGAAGAAGCUCGGUUGCGGAGAUAUAGGAACGGUUUAUCUCGCUGAGCUCACAGGAACAAAUUGCUUGUUCGCUAUAAAAGUGAUGGAUAAUGAGUUUUUGGAGAGAAGGAACAAAAUGUCGAGGGCUCAAACCGAGAAAGACAUUCUCAAAAUGCUUGAUCACCCGUUUCUUCCAACGUUAUACGCUCACUUCACUUCGGAUAACUUAUCGUGUUUGGUAAUGGAAUGUUGUCCAGGAGGCGAUUUACAUGUCUUAAGGCAGAAGCAGCCCGGGAGGUGGUUUCCCGAGCCAGCAGCUAGGUAUACUCUGUUUCUUACGAUUAACUUUUACGUGAUAUUAUGAUUUUGUGAUUUGAAUCCUAAUCCUUUCUUUUAACAGGUUCUAUGUAGCGGAGGUGCUUCUCGCAUUGGAGUAUCUGCAUAUGCUGGGGGUUAUAUACCGUGAUUUGAAGCCUGAGAACAUUUUGGUACGUGAUGAUGGACACAUUAUGGUGACAGAUUUCGAUCUCUCCUUAAGGUGUACCGUGAGUCCAACGCUUCUAAACUCGUCCUCUCCGCUUCACGGGGAUGCGAUGAGACUCUCUUCUGGUAGCCGCACUGGAUCUAACUGCAUCGAGCCAUCGUGUUUCCGCCCUAAACUCUCUCGUGGAUCGGGAAACAAGAAAAAAGCCAAACAACACCGCGUAAUGAUGAAGAAACUCAAGAAAUCCGACCUAAUCGCUCGGUUCAAAUCAUUGCCUCAGCUAGUGGCGGAACCAACGGAUGCGAGAUCAAACUCUUUUGUCGGGACACACGAGUAUCUCGCUCCCGAGAUCAUCAAAGGCGAAGGCCACGGUGCAGCCGUUGACUGGUGGACGUUUGGGAUCUUUCUAUAUGAGUUACUCUACGGGAAAACUCCUUUCAAAGGAGCUACUAAUGAAGAGACUAUAGCUAAUGUGGUGCUUCAGAGCUUGAAGUUUCCUGAUAACCCUAAUGUGAGUUUUCAAGCUAAGGAUCUAAUAAGAGGCUUGUUGGUCAAGGAACCUGAGAACCGGUUAGGGACAGAGAAAGGAGCGGCGGAGAUAAAACGGCACGCGUUCUUUGAAGGCUUGAACUGGGCUUUGAUCCGGUGUGCGAUCCCGCCUGAGCUUCCGGAUUUUUAUGACUAUGGAGUUCCGAAUCAUGAAGGGAAAAGCAAUUACUUGGAUUGCAAGGCAGUUGGGGAACACCUUGAGUUUGAGUUAUUCUAGAGGACAAGAUAAAGACAGAGUUGAAGGAGCUUACGUAAUAUUUAAACUUUUCAUAGAACUUUUCCUUGAUUGAAUUUUGUUUCUUAUAUGUUAAAACGAAAUUUUAUUUUUUGGUUUUAAAUAUUUUUUUUCAGUAGAAAUUUUUCAGAAAUAAAUAUGGAUAUUGAUUGAUAUACUUAUUUCUUUAACAAACUAGGGUUUACUAAGAAUGAUAUUGAUUAUGAAUAGUCACCUAAAAUACAAUAUGCCAUCUUUUUAUAAACCGACUUCAAGUACAUCUUUACUAACAAGAGGAAGCUCUUAAUUCAUUGGAACCUUCUUGUGUCGAUCUGAAUCUCAGACCAAUACCCUCGUUUUUUUUUAUGACCCCUCGUUAUAACAGGUUUUGCCAUUGAUGGAUUUCCCUUGAAAUUAGUGAGAAUCGAAAUAUUCCAAAGCGCUUGCCGCUUGGAGUCUAAACUAUGCACUAGUGCAAAUACAAAAACUAAUAUACCUGAUUGAUAGAUUUUUAACUGAAGUUGAGACCUGAGAGUAAUUUUCGAUCUAGAGUAAAAUAUUAUUCUAUGAUAAACCAACGACAGCCAUAUCUCGUGAAUGUAAAGGUACAUGCAUUUGUCUCGCUAAAAAGAGGUGUGUGAAAUAUCACGUGGUAAACAUAUGAUUGCUUCGCGAUGGAUUCGUGACACGAGAUUUGUUCAUGAAAUUUUUUGGACCGUUAAAUAUACAAAUUGUAUUAAUAAUCAUAGUUUAUAAAAUAGGGUAAAUAAAAAGGAAAGGUUUGGACGAAGAAAAGUGAAAUGGACGAUGGGGAAUUGUGAAAUUGGACCCCACCCACAUUGAUCUUCAAGCAAGCGCUUCGUUCGUUUCGCAAUCACAAAAUUAGCAAAAAAAUCAUACAAACAAACAAAAAAUUUAGCUAACCCGCCACUCAUUCGAUUUCCUUCGUUUCUUCCAGAUUUUUCUUCUUCUCUUCUUCCAGAUCUCUGCUCUCUUACUCUCUCUCUUCCGAAUUUAGGCGUUUUCUCUCUCUAGGAAUCGCCGGAGAAAGCGAAGAAGGUGAGGGGAUAUGGUGGUUGUUCAUGGAGUAUCUGUGACUCCUGGUGUUGUCGUCUCACGCUUCCCUCUUCCCCUGUCUUCUUCUUCUUCCUCUGCGCGACCUCUCAACACCGGCUUUAAUGGAAACUCUUUCUUCCUGAAGAAGCGCCCUCUCACUCGUAAGCUUCUUUCCCUCUCCUCCCUCUAAGACGCCAUUGCUGUACUGAGUGUUAUAAUUGAUUUUAUAGGAUCAUUACCGAAAUUCGUGAUCUGGACUAGCCUUAUCUACUGUAAUUAGUGUGGAAAUGUUCUAAUUAACCUACACUAAGAGCGAGAGAUCAACUGCUAAAUUGCUAAUCAGGCUUCCUAUGUUUAGUUUCUGAAUUAGGUUAGGAAGAUGAUUGCUAUGAACAAAUUGAGUAGAAACAGAAACAUUUUUAGAUCGGAAAUGUGGUUUAUUCAUUUGUUUUGAAGCAAACAUAGUUGCUGCUUUUGGCCUUCGUUGUCCAGAUACCUUGAUUAGAUCCAUGUCUGUAGGGAAGAUCUUUGCUGGGAAUCAAUCUGCCGAGUUUGAUUCUAAGUCACAAACUAUCUCUGCGUCAAAGAAAGUCUUAGUACCUGAUAAUCUUGAUGAUGGUGCUUCAUUGGUCACUGAUGAGCUACAAGGUCCCAGCAGCUUUUCAGAAGAAUCACAGGUGGAUAUCUUGUCAAUCUGUGCUCUUUGAUCUGUGAGUUAUAUAUUGAAACUUUAUUGCAUUACGAAUAUUUAGAUAUUUCAACAUGAACCCAGAAACUUUCCUUUUGUAGAUAUUAAAUCUAGCAAGUCAAACAAUGGAAGAGAAUGGGGCACUAAGUACAGAAGACCAAACGUCUGUUUUUGAAGCGAGUAGAGCUUACAGUAGUGAGAAAUUUGUCAAGGAGAAAGAGGUGAGACCAAGGACAGUUCCACCACCCGGUGAUGGGCAGGGAAUAUAUGAGAUAGACCCCAUGUUGCGGAGUUACAGAGACCAUCUUGAUUACCGGUAAAAAAUGUUUUGUCCGACGUGCUUCCAGUUUUCAUUGUACUAUACCUGCUAUCGAAUUAAGACGACUUGUACAUUUGAUGUAGAAGUUUAUAGAAAUGUCAGAUGUUGUUGUUCCUCUUUAUAUCUCUCAAGUCCUGCAUUUUUGUUUGCUACAGUUAUGGACAGUAUAGAAGAUUGCGUGAGGAAAUAGACAAGUAUGAAGGUGGUCUGGAGGCAUUCUCUCGUGGCUAUGAAAAGUUAGGCUUUUCGCGCAGGUAACUGCUUGCUACCAUCAAUAGCUCUUAAGUAAAUUUUCAAGUUUUAGGCUGGAUGUGUUGCAUCAAUGACGAAGGAGUCAUUAGAUUUUUUUUUUGGCCAUAUUUUGGAUUUGAAAUGAUUUUUAGCCGAGUUUCAUUUUGAUCACAUUUUGCAACUCAUCAAAUGUUCUGUACAUUGAAUUAUCGUUUCUGAUAUCCAUAACUAUUUAUAGUAAAAAAAAAUGUUGAUUUUGGCAGAGUGGAAAUGGGUGUUUAUACCGGUUAGUCUAGACAGAGUGUUCUUGAUUUUGUUUGCUUAAAAUUUUCAGUUCCACACUUAAGCAAAGUCUUCAUCAUUUACAGACUGAAAGGUUGAACACCCAAAAUAUUAGUAAGUAGUCCUAUGUGAUGCUAUUAUGCAUGAGACACUAAUUUAUCAUUAAUCUCAGCUUCGCCCACCCUCCCUCUCUAAUUUCGAAGUAAAGUCGAGUUUAUAAGAUCUGUCUCUUUCUUGAAGCUAUUAGAGAUUUUUGGCAUUAUGUUAAUGCCACAUAACAUGAUUCUAAUUGUUUUUAUUUUCAAUUUCAGUGAUGCUGGUAUAACUUAUAGAGAAUGGGCGCCUGGAGCUAAGGUUUGUUUCUUUUAGUUUUUUUUUACUAAUUUCUUCAUUCAAGAGUGUAGAAAUAAUUCUUGCAUUUGUAUCUCCGCCAACAAAGAAAAAUAUUAGUCAUAGAACAAGGGUUGGUAUUGUCCUAUAGUCUGUGUGAUAGAAACGCUAUGGCUGGUCAUGUGAGGAUUAAAUCUUGCUGCCAGACCUUCGAAAAUCUGAGGACUGAUUAGACGAUAAUACUGAAGAGGAGAAGGUGGUUUAAAUUACCUGUUUCUCAUUGUAUAUUAUGUAGAAUUAUGAAAAGGCGGCACCUAUUUAGGUUUUCUGAUUCAAAACUGAUUCGAGGAGGUUUAGCAUGUUAGUCGUAUCUCUAUGGCAACUUGUACUUCUCGAUUGCAUGUGUUUUCUUAUGCUAUUGAGUAUUUUAUAACUACUUUGGUUGUUUUUUCUAAACUUCUGUCCUCGCAUAUCUCAGUCUGCAUCACUUAUAGGGGACUUUAACAACUGGAAUCCUAAUGCUGAUAUCAUGACUCGGGUAUGGCAUAUUGACUAAUUUGAUUAAAUUUCUUUUAAAUUGUAAAAUUCAUAUAAAAUAUAGUGAAUUCGGAUCGAUGAUUAUCUCAUCGAAUCUUUUACAGAAUGAAUUUGGUGUUUGGGAGAUCUUUUUGCCCAACAACACUGAUGGUUCGCCUGCAAUUCCCCAUGGCUCACGUGUAAAGGUAACUAACAACUCGCUUCAUUUAUUCAUUUUCUGUCUUCAUCAACUGUUGCAUGUUUUUUUCUUUUAAAAAGGAUGGUCUCACUUUUAGUAGGGAUGUUUUUGUGUUGCGUAUUUUUAAAAAUAUCCAACAUCAGAUAUAGAAAAGGGUGAACGCUUUGGUUAUUCUGAUCAGUAUGGAAUGCAUUGAGAGUGCAUUGACAUUGCCUUACUAAAUAUGUUCUGCUUGUCAUGUGUAUAUGAAUAAAAUCACAACUAGUCGAUACAUAUUGGUCUGGAAGUUUCUGAGAAGAUUAUGUAAUGACGAUGAAGUGAUUUCUGAUAUACAAAACUCCAGAUUCGUAUGGAUACACCAUCUGGCAUUAAAGACUCAAUUCCUGCUUGGAUCAAGUUCUCGGUGCAAGCUCCAGGUGAAAUCCCAUUCAAUGGAAUAUACUAUGAUCCUCCACAAGAGGUAAGAUUCUGUAGUCCUUUGAAUAAUUAUCUUGUGGAAAGCGAUAGAGCCAGUACUAGCCUGAAGUUAUUGGAAAUUCAGAUAUAUAGAUAAGUUGGUACUGUCAGGCAAAACUCAGGUUGCUUUCUUAAAUGAUUCCAAACACAGAUGGUUGUUUAUUUAACCAACAAAUUCAGUUCUAUUCCUCUUUAUGAUAUGAACGAGCAUCUGCUACAACCAAUUUAAUGUAUGCUUACAAUUUGUCGUUGGUGUUCCUAUUCACUUCAGCAGAUGAUUUUGGUGGUGUUCUUAUAAACAUCAACAGAUAAUUUUGUUGCCUCGUAACGACUCUAAAUUAUCUGAUUCAGGAGAAGUAUGUAUUCAAACAUCCUCAACCAAAGAGACCCAAGUCAUUGAGGAUUUAUGAGGCACAUGUUGGCAUGAGUAGCACGGUGUGUGUCUCCCUCUUCUCUUAAAUAAUUAUGUUUUGGUCCUAAACAGCUGUGUACCAAAUUUCAUUAUAAAGUAUCAAUAAGAUCUAUUUGUUCAGUAUGGCUAUUGACUAUUACGACGUUGAUUAAGAAUUACACAAAAGUAGGAUAUUUUUCACAGCGAUGAUGGUUUUUGAACAACUCCAAUUUCUGGAAUUUUGUUCUAUAUCAUGUGAGUGAUGAGUAUACUUGUAAUACAGGAACCAAUGAUCAAUACUUAUGCUAACUUCAGAGAUGAUGUGCUUCCACGCAUCAAACGCCUUGGCUAUAAUGCUGUUCAAAUCAUGGCUAUACAAGAACAUUCAUAUUAUGCCAGUUUUGGGUAUUCUUCUUACCUUCUUGAGCUCUAGUAGAAUCCUAGAUAUUUGCUGGCAAUUAAAUUAUAGCUGCAAAAACUUACGUCUUUUGUGCCAUAAUGCUAUUUCACAGGCAGCUAGUAGUAUAGCUGUAUAGUGAUCUCAAUUCUUUUUUUCUUUCUUUUCUUACUGAUUAAAGUUGCUGUUUCUAUUAUGAAUUCAGGUACCAUGUCACAAACUUUUUUGCCCCUAGCAGCCGUUGUGGGACCCCAGAGGAACUAAAAUCACUGAUAGAUAGAGCUCAUGAGUUCGGCCUGCUCGUUCUGAUGGAUAUCGUUCAUAGGUAGUAAAAGUUUUCAUGAAAGCAAACCAUCAGAUCGGUCAUAGUGAGCAUCAGCUAUUUACAAGUUAUUUAAUAUUGUGACUAUAAACUCGGCAGCCAUGCUUCCAAAAAUACGUUGGAUGGACUGAACAUGUUUGAUGGAACUGAUGCUCACUACUUCCACUCUGGUCCUCGGGGUUACCAUUGGAUGUGGGACUCACGUCUUUUCAAUUAUGGGAGCUGGGAGGUAUGUAACUUCUUCCCGGAUUUUAAUCAAAAUUUUAUGAACAUACAUCCUUGAGCACUUUUUGUCAACAUUCACUUUUCUAAACAGGUACUUCGAUAUCUUCUUUCAAAUGCACGGUGGUGGCUAGAAGAAUACAAAUUUGAUGGAUUUCGAUUUGAUGGCGUUACCUCAAUGAUGUAUACUCAUCAUGGACUCUCGGUACUUGAACCUUUUCGACAAUGGAUGGCUAACCUCUGUAGAAACUAUUUGCGUUUUUUUCAUGUUCCUAUCCAGCAUUUUACGCUUGCCUGACAUUGGUUUCUUGGCCUUCUAUUUUCAUGGGUUUGGAUAGGUUGGAUUUACUGGAAAUUACACUGAGUACUUUGGAUUGGAAACUGAUGUGGAUGCUGUGACUUAUCUGAUGCUGGUAAAUGAUAUGAUUCAUGGGCUCUACCCUGAAGCGGUUACUGUUGGUGAAGAUGUAAGUUUUUUUUAAUGCCUCACCGAUCUGAUAUAAUUUUUGAAAAAGUGUCGUAACCCUUGAUAAUUCCUAACAAGACAAGUAAAAAAUUUGCUCAUAUCUUUUCGAGUUCUCAUAUGACUUUCACCGCAAAAAAGGAAAACAAAACUGGCCAUGCUAAUAUAUACUCUGUUAAAUUCUUACGCUCUUAGUGAGACCUCUGAGAAAAAACAAAAAGAAAACAAAAAAAAAGAAGUAACAGACGAAAGAUCUUUCUGCAAAAUAAAAUGGGCUCUACAGAGACAUAAUGUAUACGUAUGAUAGCUAAAUCAAUGUCAACUAAAAAGUAAAAAGUCAAAGUUGGUAAAUAUUCUCGGUUAUGAGCUAUUUUGUGUUCUAUGCUUACAAGAUCGUUUCGAUUCAGGUUAGUGGUAUGCCAACAUUUUGCAUUCCUGUCCAAGAUGGUGGCGUUGGAUUUGACUACCGUUUACACAUGGCCAUAGCUGAUAAGUGGAUAGAAAUUCUCAAGUGAGCUUCUUCUGCCUUUUUUCUACAUUUGCAGCUGCUUUAAUCGAUCUUUGGUGAAAUGAGUCCGUCUUACUCUCCUCCUUGUGAAGAAAGCGAGAUGAGGACUGGAAAAUGGGCGACAUCACUUACACGCUCACAAACAGAAGGUGGUCAGAGAAGUGUAUUGCCUAUGCUGAAAGUCACGACCAAGCUCUUGUUGGUGAUAAAACAAUUGCCUUCUGGUUAAUGGACAAGGUAUAGACGCCAUUAUAGUUGUCUAUAUCCAUUUAACUAACCCUUUACAAGUGAAGUGAAUGGUGUUUGUUUGUUUCCAGGAUAUGUAUGAUUUCAUGGCGUUAGACAGACCAUCAACUCCUCUAAUUGAUAGAGGAAUAGCUUUGCAUAAAAUGAUUAGGCUUAUAACUAUGGGAUUAGGCGGUGAAGGGUACUUAAAUUUUAUGGGGAACGAAUUCGGACAUCCAGGUACACUAUUAAAGCUUAUGCUCACUUACCUACACUAUACGGAAAGGGUUUCGAGACUACAUUUCUUCAUCUUAUCCUGCAAUUUUCAGAAUGGAUUGAUUUUCCCAGAGGCGAGCAGCGUCUUUCUGAUGGUAGCGUGAUUCCUGGGAACAAUUUCAGUUAUGACAAAUGCCGGCGCAGAUUUGAUCUUGUAAGUUCUUGUAAUUUGGUUUAAGCACGACAUAGAUAUCUCAAGCUAUAUAUGCUUUUGCUGUGUUCUGAUUCAGAAUAUUCAUGUAUAGGGAGAUGCGGAUUAUCUCAGGUACCACGGACUGCAAGAAUUUGAUCAGGCAAUGCAACAUCUUGAAGAGCAAUACGGUGUAAGUCUCCAUCUUGUUAAAACCUUUGUCGAAAAUGCAUUAGCUUAAUUCUGAGUUUACAUUUAAAGCAGUUUAUGACUUCGGAGCAUCAAUUCAUAUCACGAAAAGACGAAGGGGAUAGAGUAAUCGUAUUCGAAAGAGGUGAUCUGGUCUUCGUCUUCAACUUCCACUGGACCAGCAGCUACUUCGAUUACCGCAUUGGUUGCUCCAAGCCCGGGAAAUACAAGGUAUACAUAUCUAACUCUAGUUUGAUGGUGAAAAUAGAAUCUGAUCUCUUUUCUACGAUUUUUCACAUUCCAGAUUGCAUUGGACUCGGACGAUCCUCUGUUUGGUGGAUUCAGUAGGCUCGAUCGCAAGGCAGAGUAUUUCACAUUUGUAAGAGAAAGUCGAAACCAUUUAUAUUUAAAGCUUACAUUUAUUGCGGUUUUUCCAAUCUCUUAUACCAAAUCAUGCCAAUGCAGGAUGGCUCAUACGACGGACGGCCUUGCUCGUUCAUGGUCUAUGCACCAUGUAGAACCGCCGUGGUUUAUGCUUUAGCAAACCACGAGAAUUUGGGCUCAGAAUCGUAAAUAAGAGAAGAGAAAGUAUGAGAAAAAAAGUGUUUUUCCUUCAAUAGAUUGAGAUGAUUAUGUGAAACGCUGAACAAGGCCACCGAGAAUGUAAAGUCUGGAAACGAAAAAUAUCUAAAACACUUAACCGGAAAUGUAGCGCUUGAAAUAAACGAUUACCGUUCUUAAAUGAUCGAAUCAAGUUCUUUUUUCUUUUUAUAACCACAAGAUCUAAUAUCAGUUGAAUAGAUGCUAAUAGAAACUUAACUGAAGGAGUUGUAAUUUUAAAAAAAAUUGCAAGAAGUUAUUUAUUAAAAAAACAAAAAAAAGAAGAGACUGGUUUAAUUUGAUUUGGUUUGGUUUCGAUGAAUAGUUCCGGUUAAGAAAAAGCUGUUCCGGGUCACAAGUCACACCUUUUUGUUUACAUUAUAGGCUUAAGAAUCCAACGGUCAUCGUAAACCGCAUCAGAUAAACGGCGAAAUCAAAAAGCAGAUUCUCUGGAAGAAGAAAGAUGCAGCCGACAGAGGCGUCGCAGCCGGCGACGGUGGAUCAGAGCCGUCGUCUUAGGGAUGAGUUAUCGGAGAGUAUGAGCUUCAGCAGCCAAAUGAAGAAGGAAGAUGAGGAGUUGUCGGUGAAAGCGUUGUCAGCGUUCAAGGCCAAAGAAGAUGAGAUCGAGAAAAAGAAGAUGGAGAUCAGAGAACGAGUUCUAGCUCAGCUCGGUCGUGUUGAAGGAGAGACCAAGCGUCUCGCUUUGAUCCGCGAGGUUUGAUCUACAAUCCAUUAUUUCAGCUGGAUUUUUUUUUUUUAUAGUGAUUUUUGAUGUCGAUUUUCCGCUUUUUUAGUGUAAAAUAGAUCAACUUCUCUUGGUUUAGAAAGUCUAAAGGGGAGAAUAAUUCAAACUCUUUUUCGGAUUUAGUAGUUUAGUGUUCUUAAAUUAGAAGCUGGAUAGACGACAAAAAAAAAAAAAUUAGAAGCUGGAUUUUUAGUCUGGUUUUAGGUUUUUUCAGUAUCUAGGUUACAGAAUUGUGGAGAUUUUUCGUACUCGUUUAAGAACAUUGAAUUGAAAUCCACUUUCUAAAGAUGCUCUGGCUCAAGCGUAAACCCUAAUUUGGAAGGGAUGAUGUCUGUUUGGUGACUUUGAAGCUUAAUGGUUAAAUGCAUCAGGAACUUGAAGGUUUUGCUGAUCCCAUGAGGAAGGAAGUCACUUUAGUCCGGAAAAAGAUUGAUUCUCUCGAUAAAGAAAUAAAGCCAUUGGGGCAUACAGUUCAGAAAAAGGUUUGGGUUUUUCUGUUGAGAAUCAAAAUGCUUUUUCUCGGGGAUGCUAAGCUGCUGUUUUCAUAAAGUGCAGGAAACUGAGUACAAGGACGCGCUUGAAGCAUUCAAUGAAAAGAACAAGGAGAAGGUGGAGCUGAUCACCAAACUACAGGAGGUUAGUUCAUUAUGAUCUCACUUCUCUCUACUUUUUCCAAGUAAAACCAAUCAAGGGUCGGGUUUGAAUGAACGUUAUAGCUGGUCUGAUUAUACCACAUGUAUCUUGAUGGUGUGCGUUUGGUCCUAGAAAUUGGUGUUUAGUCCAUAUAACUAAUCUGUUUUUAGCUGUUUUUGAGGAUACGAAUUUCCCAUUACCUUCUUUUAGAACCUUAAACAUAUGGGUAAAGACAUUAGUCCCGUAGAAUUGUUCCAAGACUUAAGAAAGACUCCUAUUACAAUAGGGAAAGUCGUGAUCUUACUGACUGUGGAAUCCAGUCUCCAAGUUUGGCAAUUUUAAAGUUGAACUCUUGACUCUAAAAUGGGUUUCAAGUUUUGAUCAGUGAGAUCAAUAUAGACUAUAGAGACUCAAUAUCACGACCCCCAUGUUUGGGUGAUUUGCAUUGUUUUUGCAAUUAGUUUCUUCAAACUAGAUGCAACUCAUGAUUUUGCUUUUUUUGUUCAAGUUAGAUAUCCAGAAGAACAAUCAUGCUUUUCUUCCAUUGAAACAGUUGUACAGUUGCAUAAAUCUAAAGCGUUACUUAUGGCACUUUGAUUGUGUUCUUUUGUGACGGUUCUGAGACAGCGAGACUUAAUGGGUUAGUUUGACUUUUUGAAUGAAUGUGCGCAGUUGGAGGGAGAAAGCGAGAAAAUGAGAUUCAAGAAGCUGGAAGAGCUAAGCAAGAACAUUGAUCAAACCAAAGCUUAGUGUUGGACGAGCAUAGUCACUGGGAUUGGGCUAUUUAAAGUUAUCAAAUAUAAGUGGUAAAAUCACGGUUAGAGUAUUUCCUUUGUUCUUCUGUCAUUCUAGUCAUAUAUAUAUAUAAAAUAAAAUAAAAAGUAACAAUGGUUUUGAACUAAAUGUUGCAAAGAAAAUGUGAUCCAAUUUACAAUGUCAAGACAUUAUCGAUGUGAUUCGCAAAUUUGUAAUAAUAAAUGUAAAGAUCUAUGUUUGUUCUUAGGCACUUUGGUGCAUGGCUAUAUCACCAUUUUGAAAUCUCUUUACAAAUAUGUUUAAGACCACACUGAAAAUUUUGACUCGAGAAUUUGAGCUAUGAAUGUGAAAUCAGACUGAUGAGGUUUAAAGGAUCAAGUUACUAGAGGACAGAGACACAUACUAGGAUCACGUUAAGAAAGUAAUGCAUUUGAAAUAAGGGUUAAAGACCAUAAUCAGCCAGAACCAAUUGAAACCAAGAAGGAAAAAAAACUAUAUAGAACUAACACAUGUAUAUUGUUGGAUAUGACACGGCGUCUAUACAUGAAAAAUGUUAAAUAUCUAAUGGAACGUAAAGAAUAUUUAUACGAUGGUAUUAGGUUCGGAAAUGAAUAAAAAUAGGUCCACGAGCAGGAUGUUACUUCUUUUUGCCAAAAUUGGAAUGUUACUUGUACAUCAGCGUAAUCGCUUUAAUGAAGUCGGUGACGCAGAGAAAAAAGUGAAUGGGUGUUUCAGUUGAGAUGUUGAAGGCACGCAUCAUAAGACCUCGCAAGCCCACAGCUAUAAAUGCGACGAUUGUCGUUGUUUAUCAAAUUCACGAAUUUUUAAUUAUCGGAACUAACUUCUAAAUAUCACACUUAAUAAUUUGUAUUGUUAUUAUCUAAUAUUGGUUUGUAAAUGCUUCAAUUUUAAUGAGAAAAUAUGAUACUCCAUUAGUUUUACGUUUUGAUUUUCUACCACCGAACCAAAAAAAAAAAGCUGGAACUAAAUAUAUUGUAUUUUAUGUAAUAGAAAUAAAGUUUCCAAACUUCAAACAAAAUUGUUUCAUAUUUUCCUUCCAAUUUGUGUUCAACAUUAAUCUGCAGACGAACACUUGAGACCUCAACUACCAAAAAUGUCCGAUAGAGCCGAAAUUUGAAAUUGUGUGUCUUUUUGUAAAUUAGACCAAAAUUUAUUAAAAAUCAAAUAUAGAGGAUCCAAAGGAAUAUGGAAUAAUCAAACAUUUGGUUCGGUGAUACAUAAUAUCAUCAAUGAUGUUUCCUUGUAUGAGCAUCUCUCAAUUAUUAUAUUCAAUGUUCGUGAAUUUACAAUAGCUAAUCAUAAUUACCACAUUUACUAUAUACGUUCCAAUUUUUAAACCUAUCGAUAUGGAGGUAUCCGUGUCUCUCUUUAUAUUAUGUGCAUAUAUAGACAUAUAUAGACUAGGCCUAAUAUAGACACAUGUUUAAUGCAUUUUGGUUGCUUUAUCAGAAUACGUAUAACUAUUCUCUAUUAAUUGUUUGUAAAAACCUUAUGUGAUGCUCGAUAUCAGUGUUCAAAAAAUCGGUCUACUCGGCGACUAGGUAGCUGUCUAGGCGGCUAGUCGGGAUUAGCCGAUCCAAUUUUCAUAAAAUCAGUGAAGCAAAUUCGGUUUAGUAAAAAAUCGGACCAAGGCGGAGAAAAUCAGAAAAAUCAGAAAAAUCAGACCAAAUCGGCAAAAUCGGCCAAAUCAUACUAAUUAUUUUUAUCCUUCUUUCAGUCAAAUUUUACGGUUUUGGAUAGUAAACCAAUAUCGAUUUACCGAAAAAAGUGAAAAAAACAAGAUUUGAAACGUGGAUUAGGGUUAAUAACUUAAUAUAAUCAUCUUCGUUCCUCCCUGCUACUUCACUUUCAUAAACUACAAGAGGCGAUCAUUAUUCUUUAUUGCUGAACUUUACAAGUUUGUUUAAUUUUCUCUUUAUCUAUCUGUACAUAUUAUAUAACUAUAUUGUAUUCUCUUAAUUUGUCUUUUUUAUCUUUGUUUACUUUGUUUGUGCUCUGUUUUAAGUUUCAACUUUCAAUUUUAACGAUGAGCCUAGAGGAGAUAUUGAUUCCGACGAUGAAAAUGAUAUAGCUAUUGAUUUUGAAUUUGAGUCUGAAAAUGAGCAGGUGGUAGAUAUAUAUGGAUGUGUUUGAAGAAUAAGUUAGAUAUAUUUCUCUUUGCUUUAUAUUUUUAAAGUUUUUAGAUUAAAACUUGUUUUAGUUUGAAGAAUUUGAUGAUUUUUAGUUUGAUUUCUUUGUUGAACUUUAUUCUAUAAUUUUAUUUAUUAAAUUUUCUUAUUUUUUUAUUCAAACAUAAAUUUUGAUAAAAUAAUUUUUAAGAAAAUAAUUAAAGCUUUUUAAAAAAUAUGAUAUAUAGACAGAAAAUUUAUAAAAAUUAACAAAAAUUUUGCUAACGCCUAGGCUCCGCUGAUCUGCUCAAAGUUUAAUCCCUAAGCUAUUCUGCAAGAGCACAGAUGUGCAGUUGUAGUAUGUAGGGGUCGAACCACAGAGACAAGAGAUCACUCAAUAAACCUUAUAGAGAUUGAAUUACGCUAAGCAGAAAUAUUGUAAAUGAAUAGCAAUGCAACAGAAUUAGACUAAGCAGCAAUAAAAACGGUUUGUAAGAUUCAGAUGGAUGGAGAUUAGGCUUAGGGCGUUUCUCAGGAAAUCAAUGCAUGCAGAUCAAUCGAUUAGUCAGGGUUCAGGUUUAAGCACAGUUCUUGAACUCGAUCACAGAAUUAUAAUUAAUCAACUUCCGUUGUGAGAAUUAUCUAAGUCAAAAUCCUAGAAUUCCAAAUUCCUUUGCAAACCCUAAAGAUUUAAACCAGCUUUAAUGCUCAAGUUCGAUAUGUUCACAAAGUAUCUAAACCAAAUUCCUUUGCGAAUAGCUACUUUGCUCACCCUAGGUUCUUUCCAGUUAUUCAAUUACACUUCCGUGUCAAUUAAGCAACCUAAGAUCUAAGUUCUAGGUGGCCAAUCCAGAAUUAGCUUUAAGAACAACCUAUGGUGAAGAACAAAUAGAUAUGAACCCUAACUAACCAAUCAAUCUAACAUCCAAUGAAAUCCUUUAUGAGAACCCUAAACCUAACAAGCAAACUACUCAGACAUGGAGAUUGAAGCAAUAAGCAUGAUUGCAUAGCUUGCAGUAAGCAGUAAAUAGAUUAAUAAACAGGGGUUCGAAAUCUUCUCUCUCCGGAACAGAGUUUCAGACUUAUCUCCCCAAAAACUCUCAAAAACAAAAACUCUCUCUAAGAAAAUCUAAGGUAAUCGUAAAAAGGGAAUAAAAACCCUAUAUAUAUCUCUAAGACACGUUUUGGGCUUCCUUGAAAACAUUUGGGCCCAACUCCUUCUUCAAAUAGGAAACAAAAUCACGUUUUCCUUCUUUCUGCAACAAGUGUCGCGCGUCACUCUCCAUGGUGUCGAGCGUCACUAAAGCACAAAAUCCAUACUUGACAAAUUUGAUCCUAAUUAAGCUCUAAAGUGCUCCAAAGUCUCCAGUUAAGCUCCAAACGUACCUAUGACCUGAAAAGACUCCAAAAGACUCGAACGACACUAAAAAGACUCUAUAAAUAAGACUUAUACCAUGGUUAAAAACCAGAAAAACCAUGAUAUAUCAACUCCCCCAGACUUAGCAUUUGCUUGCCCUCAAGCAAACAUAACACCAAACAAGAGAAAGAAGUUUGAAAACACAGAGACUCAACCUUUCAUUGGAACAUCGCUUUUGACUGAUCACCCUGCAACUCAACUACUGCUUCAUCAUUCCAAAUCAAACCACCAUGUACUUCUCCGUAGACAUUCACAGCUUUCCAGAUUAAGUCCAAAAUUCCACAACAUGGUCCAUAAACCUUCAUUGCUGGAUCUCACUGAUCAUUCCGAUACCUAGAACCUUCUAGAUUCUUUCCCAUUCUGUACUUAAACAAAUCAGCCAUACAAACUUUGGUACUUUUCUCUCCCCCAGACUUGUUCUUUUCGCACAUUCAUCAUCUCUUUUCUUCUUCAAACGUUUUUUUUUAGGCGCAUACUCGAUAAAGGUAAAGCUGCGAGUACUGAUGGUGUUUGCCACCAAGUCCCCGAGUUGUCCCCUUACCUUGUAUCAAAGGUUUUCAGCGAAUAGUGGGGUCAUGGGAAACAUUCCUACCCCUCACUUCCUUCCUUUGUGUGAUCAUUCCAACUUAGAAGUGAAAUAAUGGGAUCAUUGGAAACAUUCCUAGCCCUUCACUCCUAAGCGAAAAUCAUCUCAAUCUUUUUGCCCUUUUUCUUUCUUUCUUAGCUCGUCACAAGGGGGAGAAAUACCAACAUUAAAUUUCACACAGGCAUUCAUUGAUCAAGUACGAACGAGGAAUCAAGCUCUAAGACAUUAGUCACAUCAGCGAGUUAAAAGUGAAGUUCAGAACUUAGCUCAGGUUAGUAGAUUCUGUUGGAAACAUGGACGCCUCUAGUCAGCUGGUCAGCCUUUGGAUUUUCAUUAGUCGGAUCUAGACUGAAUCUGCGGCAGUGGUCACUUAGGUGAAAGGUCAGCACAAUAAUUCCAAGAAAAGCAUCAUGAUCUCCAACAGGUUUUGACUCAAAAACGUUUUGACACAGCUGACUCUUAAGAAAAACAAAUACAAUGUCAGCAACUACCUCCCCCGGACUUGAAUAACACUGUCCCCAGUGUUAUCUAGUCCGAAGGUGGCGAAACAAAAUAAAAGAAACAGAGAAACGCAGGAAAAACAGAGAACUUACCUGGCUGCAAUGAUGGUGUCGCGCGACACUGAUGAUGGUGUCGUGCGACACUUGUUUUCCUCGUACCGAAUUGCAGCAGACCAAUCCGAAUUUCUAGUUUGACUCCGGUUGCCUGAUUUCCUAAUUUUUUUUUUUUUUUUGAAUAGAAGCAAGUGACAAGCGACACCGAAGGUGGUGUCGCUCGACACUAACAUCUGCUUCACCUGAGACACGAAAAGAAAAACGAAAAUCAACUGAAACAAAAAGACUUAUGUACAGACUCACCAGUGGAUUGCCUUCCAUCAAGCGCUUGUUUAAAGUCAUUAGCUUGACUAUGGAUAGACUAUGCAUCUAGUGGAUCAGACAGUGGCAAAGAGUGCCUCUGUGAAAUUCGUCUCAUCCAUGGUGGUGUGUAAGCGUUAUGCGCAUGAGGUCGUCCAAGGAAUGCAGGAAUAACACCAGGGUGAGAUCUGUGUUUGGGUGGCCUUGACCUAUUCCCUGCAAUAUCAUCAAACGAAAAACCAAGUGCUCUACGAUAAUCUCGUAGCUUGCGUCGUGAGACAGAGCCUGCAUCCUUUGAAUCAGUUCCAAUGAUAUCAUGAGAAUUAUGCUUAGGCUCAAGAGGUGCGUACCUUUGCUUUGGUGGAGAUGGAUGGAGUGCAAUGUUUGGAGCUUCUUGAUCAACAGCAGUCACUGGUUCUGUAGACGUUUUCGUCAACUCAGAUUGAUCUCUCACCAUCUCAGCAUCAAACACGUUAUGAUCUCCAACUAUCACUUCAGGUAUUGCAGUGACUUGGAAUGUCUGACCAUCUAUGGUGGGAUCCUUCAGCUUCUCCAUCUUGAAAGUCAUGAUGGUAUCUCCCAGGUGGAGAUCAAGGUUACCAUGCUUGACAUCAAUCACCGCUCCAGCUGUAGCUAAAAAAGAUCUUCCCAGGAUAAGAGGAUCUUUGGGUUCCUCUCCAUAUUUCAGAACCACGAAAUCUGUAGGAAUUAUGCAAUCACCAACUUUGAUUGGAACAUCUUCCAAGACACCUUUUGGGAUUCUUUUAGACCAAUCUGCUAGGAGCAAAGAGAUCUUAGUUGGCUUGAAGUCAGUUAUCCCAAGGCUAACAGCUACAGAGUGUGGCAUGAGGUUGACACUCGAACCAAGAUCACACAGCGAUCUCUUGAACCUCUCUGAGAAGAUAGAGCAGUCCAAAACAAAACUUCCUGGGUCCGAGAGCUUUUCUGGAAUCUUAUUAUGAAUCACAGAACUGACAUGUUCAGAGAUCAUCAUCGCUCCUUCCUCAUGACCCAUAUUAUUCGUCACCAUCUUCUUCACAUAGUGUCUGAGAGUAGGAGCAAUCUUCACAGCAUCAACCAAAGGAAUCUCAAUCACAAGCUUCUCCAUCAAAGCCUUGCAUCUGGCAUCAUCUAGCUCCUGCUUGGACUUCCUAGGACUCCUUGGGUAAGGAACCUUAGGUUUGUAAACCUUUUCCUCAGCAGAUUUCGGACUUUGAGCAAUAUUAGUUUUGCUCUGCAAUUGGUGACGCGCGACACUGGUUGUGGUGUCGCUCGACACUGGCUCUGCAGUUUCGAAAUUUUUUUCAGAUUCGUCAAACUCCACGAUUUCAUCCUCAGAAACACCCUUUUUCAGCACAGGAGUCAACUUUUUACCACUCCUUGACGAGAUGGCACUGCAGUAAUACCUAGGAUUGGUAUCAGUCUUCCCAGGAAGGAAUCCUUCUUGCCUUUUUACAGACUCUGCAGUCUGAGCAACCUGAGUAUCAAGCUUCUUGACAUGAGUGUUCAGAACUUCAAUUUUUCCAUUCAGAUCCAGAUAUAGAGCAUCAAUCUUCCCAUUGAAAUCCACAGUCAUCUUCUGCUGACCUUCUAAAAUCUGUUCCAGCAUAGACUUCACCUCAUUAUCUGGAGUUUGAGUAGGAAGAGAACCAUAGUUCCUUGAAAACCUGUUGUUGGAGUAGGAUGUCUGGUACUGAGGUUUGGAGCUGUAACCAGAAGAGUACUGAUUACCUGUGAAGGUACUCCUCUGAUUAUUUCCAUUCUAAUUCGUGUUCCCUUGCCCAGAACCAAAUCUCUGACCCUGAAAUCCAGUUCCAUUGAUGAAGUUAACAUCCUCUUCCUCAAAAGCUUCAUCUGGUCCGAAAUUCUGAACUCCUGCAGGGUAUCUGACAGAAUUCUUACCCACAAGAAGACUAUGCACAGAGUCAAGCUUAGCCUUCACCUCAGCAAUUUGCGAUCCAUCCAGGUUCCCAGCCUGCUUCCUUCGCUGAUAGUCUGCAUUCUUGGUACUAUUGCUAGAUGUCAAGUUUUCGAUGAGCUCAACAGCUUCGUCUGGGUAUCUGGUGUUGAAGUUUCCAUUGCUCGCUGCAUCAAGAGCCAUCUGAUACCUCCAGUCGAUACCUCUAAAGAAAAUACCCAGCAACUGCACAUCGCUGAAGCCAUGAUGAGGACAGUCUCGCUGGUACGAUUUGAAUCGCACCCAGGAAGCUUUGAACGCUUCAGUUGGUUCCUGAGAGAAGAUUGAAAUUUUCGUCCUCAACUCCUCAGACCUAGUAUCAUCGAAGAAGUUGUGCAGGAAAGCAUUCCUGGUCUCUUCCCAAGUAGUGAGUGAUCCUGGCUACAACUGCUUCAACCAGUUAGUUGCUUCUCCAGCAAGAGAGUAAGGAAACAGCUUGCAGAGGAGGAAAUCAUUGGACACUCCAUUGUAUUUGAUGCUGGUGACCAAGUCCUCAAACCUCUCGAUGUGAUCCAUAGGGUGCUCAUGAGAAAGACCAUGGAAAGGAUGCUGACCCACGAGAGUGUAAUACACAGGCUUGAGCUCAAAAUCAUUCCUCUGAAACGCAGGAGCGCGAAUCGCAGACCGAUUUGCAUAGAAUUGCUCAGGCCUGUUGUAGUCACCCAGCGUCCUGAUGAUGUUACCCUGUCCAUCAAGUCGCUGGCCUCUCUCAUUGCACACAUGACCCUCUCGGUCUCUCCAGAUUCCAUCAUCAUCACGAACAAGUCCAAUGGCGUUUUCCAUCAUUGUCGGAUCUCUUGCUUUCCUGUUCGUUCGCUCUAACUCAGCUAGCUCCUCGUUGCUCAAAUUAACUAGCGAGAUGUCCUUGUUGCUCCUGGUUCCACGAGUAUGCAUAAACCUGAAACACCAAAAACAAAGAGAGAAAACGAAAUAAGUAAACUAGGUUAUAAAAAGAAGGGUGUCGCUCGACACUAGGUCGAAAAACUUAGUCGAAACUCAAAAACUAGGUUCAAUGGCGAAAUCAAGUCCCCGGCAACGGCGCAAAAACUUGAUCUGCUCAAAGUUUAAUCCCUAAGCUACUCUGCAAGAGCACAGAUGUGCAGUUGUAGUAUGUAGGGGUCGAACCACAGAGACAAGAGAUCACUCAAUAAACCUUAUAGAGAUUGAAUUACGCUAAGCAGAAAUAUUGUAAAUGAAUAGCAAUGCAACAGAAUUAGACUAAGCAGCAAUAAAAACGGUUUGUAAGAUUCAGAUGGAUGGAGAUUAGGCUUAGGGCGUUUCUCAGGAAAUCAAUGCAUGCAGAUCAAUCGAUUAGUCAGGGUUCAGGUUAAGCACAUUUCUUGAACUCGAAUCACAGAAUUAUAAUUAACCAACUUCCGUUGUGAGAAAAUCUAAGUCAAAAUCCUAGAAUUCCAAAUUCCUUUGCAAACCCUAAAGAUUUAAACCAGCUUUAAUGCUCAAGUUCGAUAUGUUCACAAAGUAUCUAAACCAAAUUCCUUUGCGAAUAGCUACUUUGCUCACCCUAGGUUCUUUCCAGUUAUUCAAUUACACUUCCGUGUCAAUUAAGCAACAUAAGAUCUAAGUUCUAGGUGGUCAAUCAAGAAUUAGCUUUAAGAACAACCUAUGGUGAAGAACAAAUAGAUAUGAACCCUAACUAACCAAUCAAUCUAACAUCCAAUGAAAUCCUUUAUGAGAACCCUAAACCUAACAAGCAAACUACUCAGACAUGGAGAUUGAAGCAACAAGCAUGAUUGAAUAGCUUGCAGUAAGCAGUAAAUAGAUUAAUAAACAUGGGUUCGAAAUCUUCUCUCUCCGGAACAGAGUUUCAGACUUGUCUCCCCAAAAACUCUCAAAAACAAAAACUCUCUCUAAGAAAAUCUAAGGUAAUCGUAAAAAGGGAAUAAAAACCCUAUAUAUAUCUCUAAGACACUUUUUGGGAUUCCUUGAAAACGUUUGGGCCUAACUCCUUCUUCAAAUAGGAAACAAAAUCACGUUUUCCUUAUUUCUGCAACAAGUGUCGCGCGUCACUCUCCAUUGUCGAGCGUCACUAAAGCACAAAAUCCAUACUUGACGAAUUUGAUCCUGAUUAAGCUCCAAAGUGCUCCAAAGUGCUCCAAAGUGUCCAAUUAAGCUCCAAACGUACCUAUGACCUGAAAAGACUCCAAAAGACUCGAAAGACACUAAAAAGAUUCUAUAAAUAAGACUUAUACCAUGGUUAAAAACCAUAAAAACCAUGAUAUAUCAUCCGCCUAGUCUCCAACUAAUCCGCCUAGGCGCUAAUCUCCUAUCAUCCGCUUAGCUACCGCCUAAUGAUUUUUUGAACAUUGCUCGAUAUUGUAUUAUAUGAUUUUUUCGUGAAUUAAAAAUUAAUGGUCGAGAUAUUAUUCAUAAUCAUGUGUGUUGUAUAGGUAUGUCAUCGUCUUUUACUCCGAUCAAAACUAUGUGUGUGUAAUUGUGACGUGUUCGGUGCCGCAGUGCCGCAAUUUGUAUAUAUAUGUUGAUUAAUAAGCGUAAAAUAUAAAUGUACCGGUCGUGCAUGAGCAUGGAGGAAAGCAACAAAUCGAGCGACACGAUCCAAGUUUAAGAUACAUAUGGAGACAUAUUGUCUCACAAGAAGUCAAAGUCACAUACUUUAAAAUUAUAUAAUUGGACCAAAAUUUGUUUCAUAAUGUAUCUAUCAAAUUUGUUGGCGUAUAUAUUCUAGAUAUUAAUAUAUCUUCUACAUAAAUUGUAUUGGGACGUGCUUCUUUCGCUAUGCCCAUAUCUCUUCGAUAUCUCAUCUAUCGGUUCACAUGAAUAGAAUAGCCGUAUAAGUACAAUACGAGUUUCGAUUAAUAAAUUAUACAACACAUCUAUGUAUAUAUUACUAUAUCCAACAUCGUAUAUGGUCAUACAUGCUGGUAUAAAUAUCUUGUCUGUUUCCUAACUUUCUUAAACCGAAAAUAAUAAAAAAAAUUCAAUGGCUUCUUCCUCGGAACCUUCACAAAUAAAAGAAAAUUCACAAAAUCUUGUUAAGAUUAAUCAACAAAGAAAAAGAAGAAGAUAUAUAUCAAACCAAACGUGCAUAUAAAUAAUUAAGUGUAUAUAUAAUAAUCGCCGGCUUCAGAUCAUUUAUGACUAAUAAACAUGUUAAAUACUAAGAAACUAGGUUUGCAGAAGAAAAAAAAGAGGUAAAAAUGUUAGUUUCAAACUCUUUGUACCUUGAUCAGAUCUCAAGUUCAGCGUUAGAUAUUUUUUCUUUUUAUUUUGUGUUAAACUGUUUUAUGUUUUUCUCUGGUUUUAUAAUUAUCCUCGAACCAUAGAAAUAGUCGACACAAGUCACACAAUCAAAGGUUUAUUUUCCCUGUUCUAUAUAUUUUUCAGUGGUAAACUAAUAGUCUUACGGAUUUAGUAUAUAAUAUACUCCUUCUGUUUCAUUAUAGUUGAUUUUCUGAAUAUUUACACACAGAUUAAGAAAACUAUAAAUGCUUAAUUAUUUAUUAUUUAUUUUUAUUAAUUAAGUUACUUUUACAACUGAUUUCAUUAUUUAUAUUAUUACUUUUUCUUUUUUAACUGUGCAUUAAUGGAGUAAAGCAACAUGCAUUAAUAUUAUUCAUUCAAUUUAAAGAAGAGACAUGCAUUUAUUAGAUGUAGGAAAUCAAAUAUUAUGAAAUAAGAAAAAAAAUCUAAAAAAUCAACAAUAAUGAAACAAAUGGAAUAGAAUUAUUAAAAUGAGAAGAAAAAAAAAACAAAUAAAUUCUGGAGAAAAGAGACGAAACACCAAAUAAAUAAAUAAAUAAAAAAGAGACAAAAUCUCGAAAAAGAAUCCAAUGAGGAAAACUACCACGUCAUCAAUCGGCGAGUGGCCGCGACUUGAAGACGCCCCCCAUAAGGCCAUAACAAGCGGCUGGACAAAACGCCGACCUUAUUUAACACGUGGCAGUAUGUGGUUUAACUCACGUGUGGCUUCGUACACGAAGCUUGUCCUACUCCUUUCCUUAUGUGGCGGUGCUCUUUAACUAAGAGUUAAAAAAAAACAUAAACAAAUGAUGGGCCCCAUUUUGAUUUUCUUAAUAUUCAUGAAUCGAUGUUAUUGUCUCCUCAUGUCUUUUAACUACUUUCUAAAAUCAAUAUGAGUUAAAUUGACUAACUUUACUUAUUCAGUUAUUAUUCUAUAUAACUAUCUUCAAAUUUCAAUUUAUUUGUAAAACUUAUACUUUUGUUAAACAGGUGACGAGGUGAGGAUCGAAUAAUCUACGUAAUUUAUUUUGAUUGAAUUAUAAUGUUAUUUUGACAUAUGAAAUUUUUAACAAUAUUAUUGUUACGAUAACCAAUAAAUUUUACAUUUUACUAUGUAAUUUUUUUUUUCAACCUAUGUAAUUUAUUGUUACCAUCAGAUUGAAUCCUAAAUUCCUAAUGGAUGGUUGAUCUCGGGGCAAAAAAAGUAAUGAAAUUUGAGUGGCUGAGAUACAGUCACACCGAUUACAGGGAUAUUUCAAAUUGCACCGAUUUAUAUUUUUUUAUAAAAAAUUAUGAUUAAUUUAAAUGGUGUUUAUCAAAAGAAAUUCGCUUUCGUUAAACAUGUUCCAAUGCGGGGGAAAAACAUGUUCUAUGGCUUUUGGACUCAAUCUUUUUUUUUUUUUAACAGUUGCUGGCGCAGUAAUACAUCUGUGUGACUAAUUUAUCGUCAGUUUGAUUAUUCAUACCAAAUGUCAUUCGGAAUGGUUUUACCCGGCAUGUACCAAAUAAGUUGAAUAUAGGACUAAAUUAAUCAUGUGAUUAGACUAAUAAUUGAGAGCCCAAAGUUAUAAAAUAACGUCAUGACAAAUGAAAAACAAUAUAAAAUUUUAGUAUGUCCUAAGUUUGUCUUGACAUGUGAAAACAAGAAGACUAUUGAGAAACCACUCGCCAAACAGCCAAACACCAACCACUGAGAGCACCAACCUUUACCUAAAUACACAGAUGAUUAUUUAAAAAAAAAAAAACUUCACAGGUUAAGUUUAUAACUGAUACAUUAGUGUUAUAACUUAUACCUAAUUACUUAGUUUUUGAGAUAAAAUAAGUUCGAUCUAUUAGUUAUAUCCAUUAUUGUCGUUUGAGAUGUUGUCGGGAUUUUACUAUCUGACUUGACUACCAAUCCUUAAUUAAUAGGGUCGUGUGAUUAAAACCCAUAGUUCCCUACCACUCCGAUCAUCUCCCAUAUUUCUAAAUCUAUAUCUGGAUUUUAGUCACUUGGGCACAGGGAUGUGUAAUUUUUACAGUAAUUAUAUGUAAGCAAUUUGUGUUUGAGUUACUUAAUCUGUAUAAUUAAUCGAGUUACAUAUUAUCGAAUGCUUUUUACUUUUCCUUUCUUUUUUGGUCGAAAAUUGCUUUUGACUUUGUUUAACCUUUAAUUAGGAAGUUUUAAACUCAUCCUAGUUUCUUGUGGCCAUAACUUUCCACGAGUUAUGUGUAAAUUAUAAACUGUCUUCAAACACUGGUCUCAUAAUUAAUGAGUUGCUUUCUAGUAAAGUGUCUCAAUCAUACAAAUGUCGUUGUCGAUGCCAGCUAAACACAAAAUAAUAAGUAGGAUUUCUUUUUGUUAAACAAGGUAGGAAUGUGCCUGUCUAUCUUAUGUAUUUGUAGUUUAACAUACCAACCUAUGUUAUAAGUGAUAUAUAUAUAUAUGUAUAUUGAUAUAUAUUUCCCCACAAUCACUAAUCAUUUCAAGUUUGAUUAUCAUAUAACCUAGAAAAAGGUUGUGAUCGUGACCCAAUCUAAAAGUUGAUCAUCACGCCAAUAAAGAGAUAGUCAGUGAGGUCGUAAACAUUCUUAUCUUGAUACGUUAAUAGAAAGAAAGUGACGUAAAUUGUUCUUUAACUCUCCCAAUCCACUGCCAUGUAUUUUACAUUUCAUUUUAUAGCUAGAUUUACAUGAGAUUGCGAUUGGUUAAAUCUUCAUAAUACUUUUCUUGCAGCUCACAGUAGACAAAUUAUCAAAAUCUGACUCCAUUUACAAAGAAAGCAAAACUCAUGUGGUGACACCAAAACACUAAGUGUAAGGUUUUUAUUCCAUGCACAUUCGUAACAGUUAUCAUGGAAACGAUAAUUUGAACUUUUCAUUCCCAUCCACAGUUACAAAUGGUUAGAGAGUGUUUAUAUCAUUUUUUCACUUAAUACUCCGGUAGUUAAUAGUCUUAUAUGGAACGUUAUCAUAUGUUAAUAGUCUUACAUGGAACGUAGUCAUAUGUUAAAAUUUAAUUAAUUACUUAAGAAAAAGAAUUACGAAACAAACUUUUGGGGUGGCAGUGACUGUGUAAGACUCAGAAUCUCUUUUGAGGAAAAAAGAUAAUUAGUUUUCAUAUCAUUAUCCACAACUUCUUUUUAAUCAUUGUAUCGUAAGUGUGAUGAAUUAUCUAAGCCACGGUGAGUCUGCACAUUUCUUUGCUGUGUUUUUAUGGGCUAUUUUUGUUUCAUUUUUUUACAGAAAUGAUUUCGUUCAUUAUAGUAUAAUACAAAAAGAACGCACCAAACAUAUGGAAAUGGUAUAUAAUUAAAUGAAUUUAUUCCGGCAUCGCUUGGUUUGCUGCUGUAACUGUAAGAAAAUAAAACUAAUAGAUUUUGUUACAAGUCACUUAACUCAGAAUUAUUAAUUUUGGAAAAUAUCUCAAAAAUAAUUACUUGUCAAUAAAAGUUAUUUGAAAUAAUUGUCUUUAUUUGAAAUUAAUUGUGUUGCAAUUUAAGCCAGAACGAUGUGAUGGGAAUACUUCAACUCUAUCCUCGAGCCACAUACAAAUCGUCGACUACCAUACAAUGAAUUGAUCGGCUUUUUUUGGAGUAAUAUUUAUGACAAAGUUUAUUUCCUGCCUAGGAUUCUACCAACUUGUAAAAAAUACUUUUGUUUUUCUAUGAUAUGGGAAUUCGCUUAUCUCAGAUUUUCUUGGGUAGUUAAAACGUGUUUAUUACCAUAAAUUUAAAUUUAUUAAUGCGAAUCUGAGAGACCAUUAUGAAAAGCUGGACCAUUUCACGCACACCCAAUGGCUCCAUACAGUAAAAUCUUAUUCCUUUAAAAUAAUUUUUAACAUAUAAUAAUUAACCUAAUGUUUUGAUGUUAGAUAUGCCAACAAAAAACAUUGAUCCAUGCAGUUUCUCCUAUCAUAUUAAUCCGAUCUUCAAAACAAUUUUAACAUUAAUAUAAGCAUACAAGCUGCAAAAUCGGUGGUCAAUGAAUCAGACGUCGGUAGACUGUAGACAUCGUGAUGCAGCUUUAGCUAAAUAUUUUGAGUUUGAGAUUAUCACCAGUCUGGCAAUCUGUUGGUGGGUAACUAUUUAUUACUACAACUUUGUGACAUGUUGGAAUCAAUUUUCAAUUUUUUAAUUAAAAUCAUUAUUCUGUUUUUCGACAACAACAAAUAUUCAUCCAUAUCCUGUUACUAUAUAUGGCAAAAAAAUUUUUACUGAAUUAGAAAUCAUACAAAUGCCAUUUAAAUUUUCGGAGACUAAUUUAUGCAGUAUUAAAAUUACUGAUAGAACACAAUGAACUUAGUUAUUUUCUGUCAAUAUAUAUGGCUUAUCAUGUAUAUGUACGUAAAACUUCCCUUCAGCCACAUCAUACAAUAAAUACGAAUAUUGCUAUACGUUAAAGAAAUUAUCAUAAAAAUCAUUUUAUUCUAUAAAAAAAUUAAUUAUAAAGUCAGUAAGGAAAUUUAAAUCACAGUUUGUGUUGCUUCUCAAUUAACGGAACGGUAUGAUAAAUGAACAAAAAAUGAUUUUGCAAAGCUGUUUGAUAGGAAAACAACAUAUUUAGAAAUUAGAAUUACGUAAUGAUUUUACUAUUGCGUCAUUCAAAGGUUCUGAUCAAUCAAAAACAUAUACUCACAAAGAAGACAUAUUUUUGUGAAAAUACAUCAUACUAUUUAACCUAUAAAACUUUCACUCUGAAAAAAUCUUUCAAAUAAAUUCGAUUUUAUAAGAGCCCCACCCCACCACUAGAAGCAGAAAGUGAUUGAAGGAAAGAAAACAAGGCACGCGUUGCUCUGACCUAAAUACAUAUCUGGGAACUAUAUAAGGAAAUAUCUGUAAUCAACUUUAUUAAAAUUACCAUUCUCAGAAACACAAUCAUAAUUACUUCUUUUCAAAAACCAAAAGUUACAAAAAGUUUUUUGUUUUAAAUUAAAGUUGAUGAGUUUGUGUAUGGUAACCAAUCAGAUGACAGCAAUAAAAUGUCGUACCGUGUCCUUUUUACUGAAUCUCUACGCACGAGGAGCAUUGUAAACGCUUUUUUCUGUUCCAUUUCGAAUUGUAAAAAUUUGAAUUUCCCUUGCAGAAAAUUGUUUCAUGUGGUAAUGAACCUUUUUUUCUAAAAGAUCAAACUAUUUUCAGUUAUCAUUCUCAAUAAGUUGAGAUCCAGAUAUAAGUGGAAGAGGGUCUUGCAACUUUAAAACAACAGUUAGUCUAAUUACAAUAAUUUUUAUGUGAAGUUUCAAAAUACAUAAUUUCACUAAUGAAUAAACAAAGAGAUCAAAGGAAAAAAAAGAGAUAAUAGUAUGGAGGUGGUGACUGGUGAGAAAAGGGUCGUCAAAAAAGUGGAUGGAGUCAAUAUCCAGUUCCUACAAUAAAUUGGGCAUGCGUGUUUCUCCCUUUUGUCGUUUUGUAUUCAUUUUUCUCAUGAUUUCUUUUAGUUAACCCUAAUUAUUCCUCUUCUUCUUCUUCUUUUUUUUUUUUUUUUUUUUUUUUAUCUCUUUCCUUCUUUUUUGGUCUAAUCUUUCCCUCUUUGAGAUCGUCAACGCUUUUGCCUUUGGAGGAAAAAGAACAUAGUUUCACGGAAAUGUGAAAACCGAAAACAACUAUUCGAUGCUGUUAUUGACCGUUAGUUCUUUUUCUUACUAUUUCUAUAAAACAUACGGAGAUGAAAUAUAAACAGAAAUUUGUUACUCAUCAAAAUCUAAAGAGGAGAGAAUAACUAGAGGGGAAAUAAAUUGCGUGCAUGAAAAUAAUAAAACAACGGAGAGCAAUUAAAUAUAAAGGGGACCAAUUCGAUUAAAUAAAUAUUUUUUGUUCCCCGUUGGAAAAUGGCUAUAACGUUGAGGUUAAUUUAAAAUAUUAUAUUUUUGUUGGUGUGCUCUUAAAUCACCCAUUAACAAGCAAAAAACUAGACUAAAAUAAUAAUUUUAUAAUUUUAUUUUGUUUCUUCCUACCUACAACUAUUUACUUAGCCCUUACCUCGAUCUUCUAAACCAUCCACAAUUUUUGAAUCACCAUCACCAUCUAUCUACCUCUCUCUCUCUAGAAGAGUUCGAAAAAAGCUCUCUUUAAUUCCAAAUUGAAACCUUUGAAUAGAAACUCACGAAAAGUAUUGCUCUUUGUUCUACUCUGUUUUUGUUGUUGUUGGAAUUUGAUAAAAUGGCGUCUCAGAGACAACUAAAGGAUCUUCUAGAGGAAGAUCAGGAGCCGUUUCAGCUUCAGAGCUACAUCUCCGAUCGGCGUUGCCAAAUCAAUCCUCCGGUAACGCAUUUACAGGUCAAGAAACGCAGACCCAUCUCUCAAAACGCCGGGCUUCCUUCGCGGUUCUGCCGCAACGCUUGUUUCUUCUCCCUACGUGAAUCCCCUGACCCUAAGAGAUCUCCACUCUUCGAACUCAAGUCUCCGAAUCGGAGACAAAACGCGAUUUUCCUAAAUAUACCUGCCAGGACCGCUUCGAUUCUACUAGAAGCUGCGGUUAGGAUACAGAAACAGUCGUCGUCGGAGGGGUCGAAAACGAGGACGCGGAACGCAGGAAACGCGUUUGGGAUAUUCGGUUCAGUGUUAAAGAAGCUGACGCAUCGGAAGAAACGCGAAAUCAGCGGCGGCAAAGAGGUUUCUUCGGUGAAAGAUAUGUUGAGAUGGGAAUCUCCUGUUGUUCGUAAAAUAGUCACAAGAAAAUCAAAACGCAAAGAAGAAGGAAACUCCUCCCAAACGCAGAAAAUCGCGUCGGAGACGCAGUUCUCAAGGAGGUCUAGUAGUAGUGGCGUUUGGUCAGAGAGUGUUACCAACGGAGAGGGAUCUUGGGACUGCGAUUUCGAAACGUCCAUUAGCUCCAGCAGCCGAUCGGACGGUUUAGAUGAGUUUGCGUGUGGGUUGAUGAACGGUCCAGAUUUUUCGGAGGAUAAACGUUUUGGUGAAAGUCCGUUUCAUUUUGUUCUCCAAACUACGCCUUCCCCUCGCGGUUUCAGAACGCCGAAUUUCUCGUCGCCCGCGGCUUCUCCACGCCACGAUUGUCAAGAGGUUUGUCUCUUUCUCAAUUAAUAAUGAUUACAUUAUUGAUCAUAUUCGUUGGGUAGGAAUCGAAAAUGAAAAAAAAAAUACAUAAUUGAUGUACAUAAUAAUUUACUAAUCAUGAAACGCAUUGGUGUUAUUAGUCCCCUUUUUUUUGUCGUUGGUGUUAUUAGUCUAUUACAUUUGAAAUGUGUGAGAUAUUUUCCAAAAAUAGUAGUCUAGAAGUUAAUUAAUGACUAGUUUGACUCGUUUGAAUUAGUGGCAAAGUAAGAAUGAUUACAGUAAAUGACAAAAAUACCCCGAAAACUCAUCAGUUGGCUCUUUUCGAAGAGUAAGAACAGUUGAAGACAAAAGCAUUAUUCGUCUUUUCGAAAAUUAACUCAGCCUUAUGUGUUGUUGAAAACAAAGACGAUCUUUGUCUCUGACAUGCAAAUCUCUCUCUCAUAUUUUUGUUUUUUUGGUUUUUUUCUACAAAAAUUAUUUAGCAAUAGAGUCCAAAAUUUUGUCACUGUCUGUGCGUUUCCACGAAUCUAAAAUAAUCAGUCAAGUUAGAAUCUAAUAUUAAGUAAUUACUUUUCUUUUGAUCUAACUACUUAAUUCUGUAUAUAACAGAUGAAGAAAGAGAAUUAUGAAGUAGAGAAGCUAAAGAAACUAGAAAUGGAAGAAGAAGAAGAAGAUAAGGAACAGAGCAGCCCAGUUUCAGUUUUGGACCCUCCAUUUCAGGACGAUGACGAAGACAUUCACAUGGAUGACAAUAACAUCACUUCCAGCUUCAGAUCUGUACAAAGUACGCUUUUUUCGAACCACUCUUUUGUCUUAAAUAUUCAUCUUUCUUUCAUUUAAUUCGGAUAUUUUCGGAUCAUAUACUUUACCCUACUCAUUUAUUGUUCUAUAUUACAUGGUUUAAAAACUGUUGGAUCCGUUGUACUGAAGAUAUGUUUUCGAAACAGAACAGUGUUUGUUAAAAUGUCUCAGUGAACAUUUAUAGUGUCACGAAUAGUGUUGUUAUAGUGACAUGUGCAUGUUAGUUCACGCAUAGUGUUUGGUAAAGUGUCUCACUGACAGUUUUGGUUGUGACAAGUUCUUUUAGAGAUUUCGGAAAGUUAGCAUUUUGUGUAUAUUUCCGGUUUGUUAAAUAGGUAGAUUUCCUUUUCUCAUACUAUUUUUGUAGGUUUAAUUUGGGACUUUGUAUGAAAUAAAACAUUGUUUAUUCGCCUUUGAUUUCUCACAAGUUCGAUCAUUUAGACUGAUGAUGCUUGGAUCUCGAUUUACAGAAGCAAAGCAUCUGCUUCUACAGAAGCUCUGUAGAUUCGAGCAACUGGCGGGUUUGGAUCCCAUGGAACUCGAGAAAAGAAUGUCAGACCAAGAGAUCAAGGAGGAGAGGGAAGAAGAAGAAGAAGAAGAAGAGAUGAAGAAUCUUUAUCAUUGUGAGAUUAUAACACAGAGAGUUCUUAAAACGUACUUUGAAGAUAUGACAGAAGUUCCCGAAGGCAUAGAAGCAUUGAUCUCAGACCUUGUGGCAGAGGAAUUGCCAUUGCCAAACGACAACGUUUUGCAAGACGGUGAAGCUCAAGUAGGCAAAAGGGUAUGCGAGAAAUUGAGAUCUUGGAGAGAUGUGGAGUCGAACACAAUCGAUAUGAUGGUCGAACAUGAUUUCAGAACAGAGAGUUUGGGAUCAUGGAGAUCAAAGAACGCUGCAGAAGUCGCAGAGGCGGUUUUGGAUAUCGAGUUUGAGAUUUUUGAGGAUUUGGUUGAAGAAUUAUCAGAAUACAUUGGCGGAGAUCGGUGAUCGGUUUGAUAUUCAGGGUAGCUUCCGUCACAAGUAAUGACAACUAAGUGGGUGUAUGUAAAAGUUUUGCUUGAUGAGAGAGUAUUAAGAUUUUUUGUAAUUUCCUUAUGAGAAAUGAGAAAUUCAUACGAUCGGUGAAGUUAUCAUAUCUCUCGGGUCGGGUUUUGACCCUGAUGGGUUCUAAAUCAGUAGUUGUAGUUGACAAAUUUACUAAAUUAGAGAAAAUUCCGAUCGAAAUGUAAAAUUGAUUCAAACAGAUGCAAAGCAGCAAAUCCCAUAAUCGUCGUCAUUCGUCGUGAGUAAAAAUAUACUUAUGGGCCAAAUAAAAUACAUUUGGUCUGCUAUGUACGGCCCAAAAGGCCCAUAAGGCCCAAGAAUACGUUUUAUAUUGUUUUCCUUCCUUGUUUCCGAAAGUCUCAAAGAUGAUAUGUGUACAGUAUAAAAAAAUAUAACAAAAAUAAAUAAAUAAUAACACACUGAUUGGGCCAAUACUGAAUACCCCAAUGAUAUAACUAUUAUUACAUAAUAUUUUCCCAUAACAAGAAUUUUAUCGAUCCCAAAGUAAUUGUGUGGUCCACUGUUGUCAGAUUAUAAACUUUAACUUAUUUAAAUCAUAUUUGUCAAGCAGGUGGAUCUUCGUCAUCGACAAACUGAACUAUUCACUAGAUUAGCAACUUUUUUUUUUCAAUUACUCGUAAUAAAAUCUGGAUUAAGAUUGAAUAAAUUUUAGUCUUGGAUAAGAAUUGAAAUUCCAGAUUCGUCUUAAGAAAAAAUCAUGCAAAUAUAAAUGUAAAUGUUAUAGAGUGGGUUUAUAAGAACUGGAACUGAGAUAUAGAUUUUUUUCCGUAAUUACAUAUCCAUAGAUUUCUUUUGCCUUCCAGGUCUAGAGAGAAGAUGUCUUUCGUAAUAUAAUCUAUAAUUUAAUAUAAUUAAUUGGUCAAAAAAGUGCCUUUAAUCAACUAUAGUUCUCAUGUUUAUAUACUACAUAAUCUUUCAGAAAAAGACAUCUCCACUAUUAUUUUCCUCUUUCGUCUUUGACACAUUGUUUAAUGUUACCUUUUUCGGAAUAAUUUUUAAAAGAGUCGAAUUAGGCCAUUGUUUCAUUAGUAUUGCAAUGAUAAGGUUUUUUAAAAAAUUUACUAAAUUUCACAAGUGACUAAAAUUUGCCGUGAAAAGAACGGUACCUUGAUAUAUACACUGAUUUUACAAAUCUACUAUAUACUUCUCAGUGAUUGGUAUGUGAUUGUAAAAAAAUUGGAUAAUAAUAGAAUAAUUAGUGAUGACUGAUGAGUAUAACUAGUGGGGUUAUUAAUAUUAAGGGCCGUAAAUGGGAUCACGGACCACGGUCCAUCGAUCAUUCCCUAACCAGAUAUUUAGUCUAUUGCAUUUUUUGUCUAGAGGUUUGACUUUAGGGACUAAAUUCUACAUCACAAAAUGCUCAUAAAACUAUAUAUUCUUCUUAUUUUAUCACGCUACCAUAUAUGAGCUAUGACGUGAAAACAACAGUAUAACCCAAUUUGAUCACAAUGUAUCCAUCUAUCUAAACGAAAAACUGUAACAAAAAAAGAAGAAGAAGACAAACUGUAGAGAACCGCAAAGAAGAAAAUAAAAUCAAAAGCGGUAGAGGACCGCAAAGAAAAGAUGGUAACGUUCAGACAUCAAUCAAAAUCAUUUUUUUUUAUCAAGAACCAUCAAAUGUAACAAUAUGAAUUCUUUUUGGUUGAGAAGUCCAUUAGCUUACUGAUCAAGGAUUUAAAAACUGUAAUAUUAGGUUUGAGUUUCGGUUCCUGGAAAUUUUAAAAUAUUCUAUGUAACCAUUCGUCUAAGUUUUGCAUAUUGUCGAGAAAGCUGUCUGUUUUAGAUAUGAUGUAUAGCCAUGUAGGUGAAACUGAAACCAAAUGUCGUUGAUCUUUGCAUAGCAAGGAAAACUACAAAGUAGAUCGUAAAUGUCAUUAUUCAUUAUUAUUGCAUGAUCGCAUAUGCUACAAAAUUAAAUUCAUUAAUUAGACCCAAAAAAACUCAUUAAUGAUGAUCAUUUAUAAUAUGAUUAGAUCAAUAUGAUGCAAUAAACGAUAAAAAAUAUAAAAUUUUUGGAGUAAGAAAAAAUUAGUUACAAAGUACUAGUACGUAGUUAUUUCAAAAGAGUAUUGCUUUCAUAGGAAAGAAAAAUAAUAUAUUCUAUUGACAGAUCUUGAUAGGAUCUUUAAAAGAACUUGUUGUUUUUUCAAAAGGGCAAUGAAAAAGAGAGGGGUAUUUUUCUCAAAUAUGCAUACGUGCCGUUAAAUCAAAAUUCAAAAUUUCAGAGAAGCCUUUCUUCUUUUCUAUGAUUUUAACGUUUUAUCUUUUGAAAUCGGCACAAUCCCUUUCUUAUAAAUCAGUUUUCUUUUCAUAUAGAGUUUCUCCACCUAAUUCUUGAGGUCGAUGUUAAUGGCAGACCCUGUUUAACCUUUCUGUCUUAUAUAUUAAUAUUAUAUAACUUUUUUUAUAAAAGGGUCAUAUAUUAUAUAAUUAUUUGAAAAAGAAAAGAAAAAGUUGCGUUAAAAUCACUUAUAUGAUUUGAAAAUACACAAUCUGUUAAUACUACGAAUGACACAAUUGAAACUAUGGAUCAUCAUAUCAAAAUGGAUAAUUUGUACAGAAAGUCCAAAUAACAGUAUUAUCCAAACGAAAGCCGAACCAAAUUCGGGAUUGAGCACUCCUUAACCAAAAAUGUAAUCAGCAUUUCUGAUCGUUCGUCCAUUUUUAGAUCUUCUCUUUCUUUAUUAUUGACAUUCCGGAAAAUAUCUACUUACUAAGUGUGAAAGUAUGUAUUACUUAAUCUGUGAUACCAGAUUGUGUAUAUAGUAUAUACUUUCAGGGUUCCCAAAUGCAUGCAUCCGUCGUUUCAAACCUUCCAUCAACAUGGGCCUUCGCACUAUAAAAACCAUUUUUCCUCUCAUCCUUGUUUUUUUUUUUUUUUCUUAAUAGAAUUAUAAAAGGAAAAGGCAAAACCUAAAAUUAAGAAAAAGCCAAAAAAAAAAAAAAUCCAGCUGGUGUGUGUGACCCCACAUUCUUAUCGACAUCCAUCAAUGUACCCCUCUUAUCAAACAUCGACUAUAAGCCAAUACAUACAAUUUUCUUUCCCUUUUUUUUUUCUUUCAAAAUUGCCUCAUCGCUUCAUAAAAAAUAGAUGACAUACUUAAGUUGUUCGUAAUAGAGAGAUUUUUGACGAGUAUAAGAGUUGUAGAUUUCAAAUAUAACCCUAGUAUCCUACAUAUAAAUUAUUAUUUAGUAAUCGUGCAGUUUUCCAGAACUUUAUACCUUAAAACAUCUAAGCUAACUCUCUCAAACGUUCUUGAGAAAACAACGAAUACUCAGGAUCUGUUAUAAUCGUGCCAUGAUUUGCCACGUCUGCAUUGAAGAAACAUGAGAUUUUGGGCUAAUUCGUUUGCUGCAGGCUGCAACACCUGGUAAUCUGAUAUGCAUCUUUUAUUGGGUCAUUCGUAUAAUUAAAUGAGCGAUGUCUUAUUGCCUUUCUCUUGAUUUAGGAAGGCAUUACUCACGAUCAUAUUCAUAUUCUGGAUGAUAUGAUAUUUUUAAAUUUCAUAAAGGCACAUAUCACAUUCAUGGAGAAAUGAAGGACCAGUUGGCAUGGAAAAGAUACGUUUAGCCGUUUACGCAAUCAGACAUAUGAUUUGGUGGGUCGAUGUUCGGUUUAACAUCGGUUUAGUUUUCCUUAAGAAAAAACAACCAAAAAUUAUAGAAUUAGUUUUUUAUAGUUAACUAAAUUCUGUUAGAUCAAUCAAUAUGACUAAAAAUAUGGUUUCCAGUUUAUAUUUUUCUCCGGGUUAGGUUCGGCUAUUCAAAUCAGUUCCAGCAUUUUCUCUAUCUUAGGAGUUAGGAGAUUGAGCUUUCUCCUAUGUGUUUUGUUCUAAGAAAUCCAUUUGGCUUUACCCUACAGCUUUUCUUAUAGUUUUACAAAAAAAAUUCUUAUUUACAAGAAAAAUGAAAUUGUUUUCUUUUUCAUCUUCUUAAAGUUCCUUCUUGUACUAGCAACCAAUCUAAAAUUAAUAAAAUAACUGUUAGAGAGCAAUAAUGGUGGAUUUCACAAAACACUGUGCCUGUACAUAUGAACAUACGUAUAUGUAUGUACAUUGCAUGGAUCGAACGUCUACCUACGUGAAAAGCAAGUCAUCAGGUCUGACCACUCUGAGAUCCAGACACUCUCAUUAAUAAUUUUCCUCUUUAAUUUAUUUAUUUUCAUUGGUUUUUUAAGUUUUCAUAUAAUUUAAAGGACGUCAAAAAAAAAAAUACAUAUAAAGAAAUAUGUUUUCUUCUAUUUUAUUUGUCGGGCUUAAGACAAAGACUGAAUGAGCAAGACUGAGAUUCCUCUGUUCAGCAUGUUUCCCUUGUUAAGAACUCUCUUCUCUCUUCUUCUCUUACAGUUACUAUACACUGUCCAUGAUUUCAUCACUCUCUACGUACUCUGCUUUUAUUAAUAAUUAACUUUUUUUUUGUAUUUCUGCAAUAUUAAGAAUUGAUUGCGCAUCUCUCUUUCCACACCAGUUAACACCUCGUUAUAUUAUAUCUUUAGGCAUUAAAGAAAAAUUAUAUUGUAAUUGUCUAUAUAUAUAUAUAUAUAUGUUGCUUUUGUUUGUCCUUGACUCCUUUCUAAGAAAUAAUUACAUCUUCACUUAUUAUUCUUUAAAAAAAAUCCAAAGUGAUCAUUAUGAAUUUGUCGGCAUCUAGCUAUCGCAUGUCAAAUAUUAAUUAAGUAAACUAAACUAUUGAUUGUUUGGAAAUAAGAACCCUAUUUCUUCAUGAUUUUUGAUACCGUGGUCCACAACUUUGUGAGGAAGAAUGUCUUUCAGUUUUAAAAUUUAAACGAUAUGAUUGCUGAGGAAUAUUAUAGUGAUUCAUACACAACAAUGUAAAGAUAGAUCUUGUGAACAAAUUAAAGAGAUAGAUCUUCAAUGAUAGAACAAAAAUAUAUUAUAUAAAACAGAUCAUGGUUGAGGCAACUUUUCCUUUUUUCAAUAAAAACCAAAGGUUGCUUUAACGAGAAUCAUGACACUUUCAUAUCAAAAAGGAUCAUAGAAUAUAAUAAAAUCCCGGUUGCUAAUGUUGUAAAUCUAGGAAAUAUUAACUCGGUGUAUAUUUAGUUAAUUGAAGUUGAUCGUAAGUAAGCCAUAGUUUGGAUGUGUCAUCUCAUCACUAGCUGCUGAAACUCGUGUUCAGUAAUUUUUUAGUUAAAAAUUGUACCCUCAUAUGAAUGCUAUGCAUUUUAUUUAUCGUAAAGUACGAAUUUAUAAUCAAUGUAGGAAUACUAUGGUGAUGUACGAAUGAAUAAAGGCCCUACCGCAUAUUAUCAAUUAUUAAUGUUAUAUAAUUUGAAAAAUUAUGGCAUGCAUGUGUACAUAACAUCGACCCAUCUUAGUAGAGUUCAGAUUUUAGUUUCACUUUCGCGCAAAAGCAUGCUACUUCGUCUCUAGCCGAUGUGGAAAUUAUAGGCCACCUCUAGGACACCUAAGUUUUUCAAGGAUACGCAUUCAUAAUUGUAAAAUUUUAAUUUUCCUAUAUAGAUUUCUCAUUUUUCCUAUAAUAUGGUUACAUCAUAUGCUUUUUAAUUUGUGAUGGGAGAGAAGUUUAUUUGAGUCCACACUAGUUCAAAUUAUUCUCUAGUAUAAAAAUAACACUAUGGAAUGACAAUAGAUAAUUUCAUAAUAAACAUUUUUUUAUUGAAAAACUUAGGUGUCCUAGAGGUGUCUCGUAUCAAUUACCUCAAUGAAAAAAAAGAAAGAAAGAAGGAAUUGUCUCAGAGGAAGGAGAAUGACUCUGUGUCACUAUUAAAUUCAAUACAACUAGAAUGUGAUUAUAUUGUGAAUUGUUGGUAGCUAAAAAGGAAUUAAUAGCAAUACCCUGAUAAUAGUAUUAUUUUAUUUUAUUUUUAGGUUUUGUAUACUAUAGUCUAAGGUAAUUGUGAAAUAUAUUUUCCAAAUAUCUAAAUCGAUUUUUUUCUUAACAAAUUAACUAGGUGAAUGACUUUUAAUUCAAAGAACUAGAUUCCUUAUACUAAAGAUAGAAACUCAAAAGGAGAAGAAAAAUAAAAAGCUAAGGGGUCAAUUAAUUUGGCGGUGAUGAAACAAUAAAUAGAUAGGUGACAAAUGCAAACCCUAACUUGUCUAUUUGCCCCCAAGCCAUGGAAGAAAGAAGCAAUCCAUUAUUUAUUUAUGUCCUAUUUAAAUAAAAGAAAUAAGAAACUGAGAAUAGCAAAUAAACUAAAGAAAGCUCGAACAAAAAAAAGAAGAAAGCAAAAGAAGAAGAAAACGGCAUCGUUUCAGGCGUGUCUUCUGAGGAACUGUUGAAGUCUCCCAUCUCAAGUCAAUAAAAGGUAAACUUUCUAGGGGUCCUGUAAUAUACGGCUAUGAAUAUGACACGUGUCUUGAUCAUUAAAAUAUAAUAAAAUCUUGUUCUUUUUCCUGCUAUUUUUGUUUUUCUCAUAAUCUUGUUUCUUUCUCCAUAACUAACUUUUUAUAAUGAAAAGUUCUGAUUCAUUUGUUCAUGACAUGUGAUAACAAAUAAGUGGAGAAUUUUCUACGGUUUAACACCUUACAGACGUUCUCUAUAUAUUAUCUCCGGUAUGCGUAAAGAUAUAUGGAUUCAUAACCAAUUGUUUGAUCGCGGUUGAAAUGUAGUAUUUGAAUUAUGUAUAUUAAAUUUGAAUGUGAAUGUUCUAAUUUCAUGAAAUAAACUCCGAAAAAUGGAAUUACUGAGAAGGAAUUAAAAAACGUAGUGAACAUUAGGAUUGAAGCAAUAAAAGUGUCAAAAAGGAACAAUAAAGCCAAAUGGUUAGGGAUUAGACAGGUUGAAAUGUUGGGGAGCAUAAAAGCCAAUAAUUUGGUAAUUUUUCAGAGGACCCCCUCUUAUUGCGGCCAUUUAAUUGCAAUUUAAUUUCUAAUAAAUUCACACACAUGUCUCUCGAAUUAUAUCUUUAAAGUUCAGUAUGCAGAAGAACCUUUUUUUAAAAGGAAUGCGAAGCUUUAAAAGCUGAAUCGCAGAUUUAAAAGUAAAACAAAAGAUAGAUGAAUCUCUUUAACAUGAAAAUGGAUCGUCAUAAAUCUAAUUUUCUUAUAAGAAAAACAAAAAUUUGAUUUUAGGGUAUAAACUUAUAGGAUUAUAUAUUAAUUUGGUUUGUGUGGUAUAUAUAUUCCAGUUGUAUAAACACUAAUGAUUAUAUAGACAUUUCUUUCUCUAUGAAUUACAAAUAUAUAAAUGAACAAAUAUCUACUUAUUUAGGGGUUCACAGUAAACCAACUUUUAUGAAAAACAAAUCCUAGAAAGACAGGAGGCUGAAGCCAAAUAAUGAUGUUGCCUAACAAAUCAAAGGAAUAAUUUUAUAGGCAACCCUUUGUUUUCCAAAAAAGUUGUAUCAAUUAUGGAGUCACAUGUGCAAAUUGCAGUAAAAUCAUCCUCAUAAAAAUACCCAAAUAAUGAAAAGUCAUAAUUAAUAAGAAAAUUUACAGAGAGCCAAACACAAGUUUCUUCAGAUAACUAUUUAAGCCAUAUAGCUAAAACUUAGUUUUGAAGGUGAAAAACCAAAUUCUAGAGCCAAAUUAAAAGAGAUCGGCCUCGAUCUAUGAUUGUCUCUAAGUGAGACAAAACCUUACACUGAUAUGAAUAUAUACACAUCAAUGCACACAUGUAUUCAAAUUAUUUGAUAAAGAGAGAUAAUGAAAACUGAGACACAUGAUACAAAUUAGAAACAGAUAUAUACAAAAUCAUAUACAAAAAGAUCUGUAUCUAGUAUCCAUACAUCUCUCUUCUCUCUCUCUCUCUCGCCCACACACAUUCAAGAAGAAAAAAAAGAUUGUUUAUUAAUUCAUGGGACCAUAUCGUCUCUGUAGCUUACAUUCGACCCUUUUCGUGGACUACACGAUCUGUCUCUCUCUCAUUCUCUCACACUCUCUCAUUCUCUCUCUCUCUCUAAAAAAGCUUUAGUCCUUUCUCUCCUUUUUCUUGGAAUUAAAAGGUUGAACCUUUACUUUUUUUUUUCUCCCCUCACUAUCGAUCGAUCUUCUCAUUCAGCCAAAAAAUGGAGGAUCAUCAUACUCAGUAUGGUAUACCGGAGCUCCGGCAGCUCAUGAAAGGCGAAGGGAGGACGAUUACGACGGCAUCACCGUCGACUUCUUCUCAUUUUCCCUCUGAUUUUUUCGGUUUCAACCUCGCUCCUGCUGCGCCGCCGCAACACCACCGUCUUCAUCAGUUCACUGCUGAUCAUCAGGAGAUGGGCUUCUUGCCACGUGGCAUACAUGGAUUGGGUGGGGGUUCUUCAACGGCUGCAAGUAACAGUAACUUAAACGCGAGCACUAGUGGUGGAGGAGUUGGGUUUAGUGGGUUUCUCGACGGAGGAGGUUACGGCGGAGGCGGAGGAGGAGACGGCGGGGGAACGGGGAGAUGGCCGAGACAAGAAACCCUAACUCUGCUGGAGAUUAGAUCUCGUCUUGAUCAUAAAUUCAAAGAAGCUAAUCAAAAAGGACCUCUCUGGGAUGAAGUAUCUAGGUUUGCCUCACUUACCCUCUCUCGAUUUUACCCUAAUCUCGUUCUCUCUCUUUUUAUUUUCCGUUUUUUUUUUGUCGUAAAAACAUUGAGAAAGAGAAAAAAACUUUAUGCAUAUUUCUCAAACCUCUUCAUACUACAAGAGUUUGAUAACUUUGAUUCGUUGAUAAUGUCUUAGUUUAAAGUUAAUCAUAUAGGAAACAAUUAGUUUCCAAUUGAGGAAAUUAAUAACAUUUGUUGCUGAACACUGAACAGCUUCCUUCUUUAAAAAUAUAUAUUUUAAAAAAAAACUUUGAGUAUUUUGUUUUAUGGGUUUUCUUUCAGAUUUGAAAAGAUUUGACCUUUCAUACGCUUUCUUGUUAAAUAUUAGACCUUUCAAGUGAAAAUCCCGAAGACAAGUUUAAUCUUUUUUAAUUUAUUUCUGCAUUGAUAACUAGAAAGAAUGUGACCUCAACACUUCCCUUGGUAUCCUCAAUUUCAACAUACUUUUUCAGCUGAUCAAUAUACACACAUAUUGAUGUGUAUCUACAGAGUGGUCAGUUUCAUACAAUUUCUUUAGGCGUCGUUUUGUUUUGGUCAAGAGAAUGACCAGACCUUGGCAGUUUCAGUUAAGACACUACCAGGUGCUUUAAAAACCCAAAAGGGUAAAACAUAAACAAGAGUAAAACAAAAAGAUUCAUUUUCUUCUUUGACUUUGAUUAAUUUAUUUUUCUCCUUUUUUACUGAUAACUUCUGAUUCAUCUUUCUUAGCUUCUGAAGAUAUGUACCCUCUUCUUUUGUGUAACUACGCAUAGAAACAUGUUCUUGUGCUAAACUAUUAGUCCACUAGUAUAAGCCUCGAAAACAAUAUUGGUCCGAAAGUUAUAACCAGUGUAUGUUAGAAAAAAACAAACUUUAUGUGGGUCACUAUAUCUAAUCUAAGAAAAUACACCAUACAAUGUUAUUUAUAUACAUAAACACACACACACAUAUAUAUAUAUAUAUGCAUGAAAAUAAUGAAUAUGAAUAUCGUAUGAACAGUCAAUGAUUCAAAGCUAGUUUUAAAAUUAGGGCACUGCUUCAAAUUUCAAUCAAAAACAUGAACUAAUGUACUCUUUCUUAUUCAAUUUGUUUUUAACAUAUAGGAUUAUGUCAGAGGAACAUGGAUACCAAAGGAGUGGGAAGAAAUGCAGAGAGAAGUUUGAGAACCUUUACAAAUACUAUAGGAAGACUAAAGAAGGCAAAGCCGGAAGGCAAGACGGUAAACACUAUAGAUUUUUCCGGCAACUCGAGGCGCUCUACGGUGACUCCAACAACUUGGUUUCUUGUACCAAUCACAACACACAGUUCAUGAGCAAUGCUCUUCAUGGUUUCCACACUCAAGCCGCUAUGAACGCUACCACAACAACGUCCAACAUUCAUAACGUUGAUAGUGUUCAUGGUUUUCAUCAUCAAAGCCUUAGUCUUUCUAACAACUACAACUCCUCCGAGCUGGAGCUGAUGACUUCGUCUUCUGAAGGGAAUGAUUCUAGUAGUAGAAGGAAAAAACGGAGUUGGAAAGCUAAGAUCAAGGAGUUCAUUGAUGUGAACAUGAAAAGGUUGAUAGAGAGGCAAGAUGUUUGGCUUGAGAAGUUGACAAAGGUUAUUGAAGACAAAGAGGAACAAAGGAUGAUGAAAGAAGAGGAAUGGAGAAAGAUUGAAGCUGCGAGGAUCGAAAAAGAGCAUUUGUUUUGGGCUAAAGAGAGGGAGAGGAUGGAAGCUAGGGAUGUUGCGGUGAUUGAGGCAUUGCAGUAUUUGACCGGAAAGUCGUUGAUAAAGCCGUUAUGUUCGUCCCCAGAAGAGAGGAUCAAUGGUAAUAAUGAGAUCCAAAAAAAUAGUGAGAAUCAGAAUGACAACGGAAGCGAUCAAACGAUGACUAACAACGUUUCUAUUAAAGGAAGUGGUAGCUGCUGGAAUGAGCAAGAGAUCAUAAAGCUUAUGGAGAUAAGAACAAGCUUGGACUCGGCUUUUCAAGAGAUAUUGGGAGGGUGCUCGGAUGAAUUUCUAUGGGAGGAAGUCGCGGCGAAAUUAAUUCAGUUAGGGUUUGAGCAGAGAAGUGCCUUGAUGUGCAAGGAAAAGUGGGAAUGUAUAAGCAAUGGAAUGAGGAAAGAGAAGAAGCAAAUCAACAAGAAAAGGAAGGAGAAUUCGUCCAGCUGCGGCGUGUACUAUCCAAGAAACGAUGAAAAUCCUAUCUACAACAAUCAAGAAAGUGGAUAUAAUGAUAAUGAUCAGCAUCAUCAGAUGAAUGAACAUGGUAAUGUAUGUUCGUCAACAUCAAACGCAAACGCAACCGCUGGAAAUCCGAGCGGCGCAAUGGCGGCUGGUACAAAUUGCUUCCCAUUCUUCAUGGGAGAUGGAGAUCAGAAUUUGUGGGAGAGUUAUGGUUUGAGGCUAAGUAAAGGAGAGAACCAGUGAGUGAAUUUCUCCCAACGCAGGAGAAGACGAGGUAGAAGGUGAUGAUCAUGUGGUUAACUAAUUCUUUUGAGUUAGCUAUGUAUGAGAUAAACCUUGACUUAACUAUUAUAGAUAUAUGUCACACUGUGCUUAGAAUGAAGGGAUACACUUUCUUGUGCCUUAACGAAUUAUAUGUCAGCAUGUAUAAGAUGAAAGUCAAAUGAAAGUAUGUUUUAACUUUUAACCAAUGAUUCAUAUGUUUUUAAUGUAUUUAUUUUGUAAGACUUUUUUUUUAUAUCAAUCAUUUUUCUAGUAUUCAACUUUAAUCCCAAUAUCUAUGGUAAUUCAAAGAUCGCAUCACCUUAGAUCAAUUUUUAUAAAGAUAAUUGGGAUUUAUUUUUCACACCCAAAGGCAUAAGACACGCAAAGCCCGACAAGACAUAUCAUAGGAAUAGGAUAACUCAAAAAAUCUAAUCAUGUUUGUCUUGAAACCACUUCACAUUUAAGUGUAUUCCUCGUGACCUUUAAAUAUGGUAUUCUACAUUAUAAAUAUUCAUACUUGUUAUAUCAGCAAGACAUUUCCCCAAAUUAAACCAAAAUUUCCGGGGGUUUGAAUUAUUAAAUAUUUUGAUAACUUACAUGAAGGAAUUGAUUGUGCCCAUACUUCAAUGCUUUUCUUAGGAAGAUUAUUUAUACAUUCGAGAGCAAUAACAUAUGCCAGACGGUUCUUGCCCAUUGGUUUCACGAUAUGUUAAUGUUGAUUGAGGUGUGAGACCGAUAAUCAUUUUCUUUGAAUGUAUUUUAGUUAGAGUUAUACUCUAGAAAAAUCUGUAUAUAUUAAAGAAACAAAAGGAUUUGUGAUGCUUUGUCUUUUAAAUUUGGCUUGGUUACGAUAUUCAUUUAUUAAAAUAAUAAAAACGUAAAAAAAAAUAAUUUCUAUUCAGUUUUGGUCCAACUUUUCUGCUAUGGUUUAGUUCAUAACAUUUUAAAUGGAUCAAACCCUUCUACCGACUUUUUUUUAUUAUUUGAUUGUUGUAAAUCGGGAAACUUGGUUAAAAUUUGGUAUAGAGGACUUAACAUAAUUAAUGUGUGUACAUAAAUGGAGAUACAAAGAAAACAUACAUAGAAGGCUAGAGAUGUAAAUUUGGGGUAAUCCUAGAGAGAGAGAGAGAAAGAGAGGGACAGAGAGAGUUAUGAAGAUGGAGACAGAGAGGAAGAGUAGUGAAGUAAGCUCUGGUCGAUUCAGUGUGUUGAUGGUCAGAGAGAAAGUAACCAUUUGCCUUUAUCUCUCUCCAUGAUCUCACUCUUCUCCUUUUGUCCCUAUUCCCUAUAGAGACAGUGAGACACGAGCACGAGUCAAUACAAUCCUUCGUACGUACACAUUAUUGAUAAUGUUGAUUAAUUCUGAAUUGUCUCUAUUCUCAUUUAAGUGUUUGUUCAUUUUAUGGGUUCCACACAAGACCAGUCCCAUUUCUAGAGUUGGAUGAUUCUUCUAGUCAAAACUUUAUUAACUGUUUAAUUUGGAUAUAGAUGUUGAUAUAUGAAUAAGGAAAAGAUCUUGGUUGUUUUGUUUCAUUAAUGCUGUGUCAUAUAAUUUGUAGAAAUAUAGAGAACACGUCACACAAUAAUUUUUGAUUCUGAAGUUUAGAGAAGAAGGCAGAGUUCGUUGACGAAAGAUAAGGUAAUUACUAUAACAAGGUGGUAAGUUUAAGUUUGAAUAGGUUUAUAUUAUCAAAUGAAAAAGUGGAGGUGUUGCAUUUUUUGUAAGAAAAGUUUGGUCUAAAAUAUUAAAUAUCCCAUUAGGAAAAAAAAUAGUAUCCAAAAAGGGGAUAGUAGACUUGUAGUAAAUAAGACGACUGAAGUUAGAGUAAGACUUCUUCUAACAUUAUCCAUCGCUGAACCAUUAAAACUGUUUUCAUGACCCUAUCUUACGUUCAGUCACUGCCAUUGUCUCUCUAUUCUGUCCACCCUAGCUACGAGUAGACACAUCAUCACCUCAUUAUAUGAAUUUCUUUUUUUUUUUUAAUAUUCCUUUCAUUUAACCUUCAUACUUUUUUUCGUUUGAUAUUUUUAGUACAUAACGUAUAUAAUUUUCCGGAUAAUAUAGGAUGGAAGAUUUGAAGGAUAAUAAAAAGGAGACAUACGUUAUCAAAGUAAAUUUAAGAAAUGUACGUCUAUAGAAGUAGGAGCUAAAUUACAAAUAUAUAUUAAACUAGAGCGCAAAACCGAGGGCAAAGACGCAAAAAUUGAACAGUCAAAGGAUAAAAAAAUAGAUUCACACUAAGCAGAGGGUAAAACCCUAUUUAUGAAACAAACUAUGGGAAAAUUGGCAAACAUAAAGUAGUCUGAGGGUAAAACCAUAAAUAUAAAACAACCAAAGGGCAUACAAUAAUUACGAAACCGAGGGUAGAGGCAUAAAUAUGAAGCAAUCAGAGUAUGAAAACCGUAUUAACUAUUGAACAAUAGAUAAAUAUUAAAUGUGGACAAUGUAAAUAUUUAGGAUUUGUUAUUGUUUCAUUUUCAUUUUACUUUGAAUAAUAUAGUUUUACUUUCUUUACAAAAUUAAAUAACUAGAAAUAAAAGGAGUAACAAAAAUUACGACGAACCAUAAUUAUAUUUAGUAGAUGUAACUUAUACAAUUUUUAAAAAUAAUUAACUUUACAAAGAUUACUCAUUAUUACAACAAAAUUUCCCCAUGAGAAAAGAAAAACGAACUUAUAUCCCAGGCUAAUAUCACAUACCCCCAAUAAAAAAACAAAAAACAAAUAAUUACACCGAUAUCCACAUAAAUAACCAAAUCAGCAAAAAUAUAUGGAAAUAACCAAGGAGACCUUUUAGUAUUUGUAGUCUUUGACGUGAAGGCUCUCGGAAGCACCUUCACCGAGCUGAGCAUCACCCUUGUAGGCACCAAUCGUUGCCUCAGAGUUCGCCUUGGCUCGAGCCAAGAACGCGUUUUGAGCCUUUUCAACAUUCUCCUCUUUACCUCCCCAAGCCUUGAGCGUACUCUGCUGAAGCGCACGUCCAUACGAAAACGUCAAGCUCCAUGGUUUCUUACCUUUGAGCUGAUUAAUGGCGUUUAAGUUCACAGUUGCUUCUUCCUCACUCUGUCCUCCAGACAAGAACACAACGGCUGGAACCGCGGCAGGGACAGUCCGUUGUAAAGCACGGACUGUAUGCUCUGCGAUCACCUCUGGUUUAGCCCUGGAGCUACAGUCGGAGCCUGGAGUUACCAUGUUCGGUUUUAAGAGUGUUCCUUCUAAGAUCACAUGGUGAUCAUUAAGAGCCUUGUAACAAGCUGCGAGGACUCGUUCUGUGACGUAAGCACAUUUCUCAAUAUCGUGAGAUCCGUCGACAAGGAUCUCUGGUUCGACAAUGGGGACGAGACCGUUCUCUUGGCAAAUGACUGCGUAUCUCGCUAGACCGUAAGCGUUCUCGUGGAUGGAUAACUCGGAAGGCUCGUUGGCUCCGAUUUUGAGAACGGCACGCCACUUGGCGAAACGUGCACCGGCUUCGUAGUAUUUCUUGCAACGGUCUCCGAGUCCGUCGAGGCCAAUGGUUGUGGUUUCGCCGUCUGUACCAGCGAUCUCGACGGUUCCUUUGUCGACUUUGAUACCUGGAAGCACUCCAGCUUCUUUCAUUACAUCAACAAAUGGUUUCCCUGUAGCAUAAUUCAAGAACUUCAAUGAUCAAAAGGGUAUACACAAAUCAUUAACUUGAUAUCAGACCACAAGAAAGCAUUAGAAAAAGGUUCUUUUAUUGAGUAUUACCUGAAGCUGUUUUCUGGUAGAGUGUUUCCUCGAAGAGGAUGAUACCACUGAUGUAUUGGAGAGCUCCGGGAGUGGUGAACAAGAGUUCACGGAGAGCACGUCUGUUUGAUUCAACGUUCUCCACGUUGAUGCUUGCGAAACGUUUUCCGAUUGUCCCUGUGGAUUCAUCUGCCGCGAGAAUACCUUUCCCUGGAGUACCGAUGUAAGCGGCAUUGGCGAUGAGCUCAUCUGUCGAGAAAAAUACGAAAUGACCAGAUUUAGAUGAAAUUGAUUUAGGGAUUGAACAGCCCUCGAGCUAUGAUCGAAACAAUUUGUGACAGUAAGAGACGAAAUUUCGACAGAGAAUCACGAUUGACGAGAGGCGCAGAGAAUCAAUUCAAGUAAACUAUCCGCAAUCAUAACAAGUAAAAUGCCGGACGAUCAACGAAUCGGUGGAUCGAAAUAUUUAAAUAACGGUGAUUCCAAAUUCGAACUACGAAAGACGAAUGAAACCGGAUAAAUCGAAGGAUCAACAAUGAGGUGUUGGUGACAUUUACCGGCGAAUUUGGAUUUGAAGCACGACAUUGUGUACACAAAAAGAAGCGGCGGCGACGGCGACGGAAAAGAUCGUUCCGAUUGUGAAUGUGAGAGAGAGAGAGAGAGAGAGAGAGAGAGAGAUGAGACCGAUUUAAAAUUGAGGAAUGGAAUGGGCCUUUGGGCUUUAAAUAGUAAAAGGCUGCGUUGGAGACGCAUACGGCGAGGAAAAUGGAGUUUACGAGAGGCCCGUCGAAAUUGUCGCUUGCAACUCCAAUGACCAAUAGAAAAUAUCGCUUCGCCUGUGAUAUUGUAGUUUUCUAUUUUUUUUUCUUUUCUAUUUUUUUCUAUUUUUUUAAAUCCUAUAUUGCAAUGGAAUAUAGUUCUAUAAAUAAAAUUCCAACGAUUUGUGUAUUUUAAGCUUCUGUAGAUGGACCAAAAUAUUUCCUUUCAGUUUUAGCAUCUGCUUAAGUAAUAAGUAUAUGUGUAGUCACAUACUGACAUGUAAAUGAUAAAAUAUACGACAAAAAAUGAUAAAAUACAAAUUGUAUGUUUGACUGGAGAAUAAUAACAAAAAUUAUGGAACUCGGAUAAAUUCUGGUGGUUGCGGCCGUGAAGCACGUGAACUUAUCCCCGCAUGUUGAUCAGAAUAUUAAAACUAAAAGUAAUAAUAUUGAAUUAUUAGAUAUAUUAAAUUUAAUAACAAAGAAGAUUAUAAAAAUAGGAGAGUGGAAGUCUCAAACAUGUGGGCCUAAAGGAGAGUCCACCAUCUACACUUGUUAGCGUCAUCCAUGACGACAUUACAAUAUUACAAUAUUUUUUAUAUUCUUUUUAAUUUAUUUUCCCGCCUACGCCAUCAUAUACUUUGAUUUAUCCAUAUACUUUUCCGUUGUAUCAAUCGAUUAUAUCAACGGUUUGUCGACGAAAACAAAAAAAUAUAUCAAUCGAUUCACAUUUUUUUCGGAUAAAUAAUUUUUAGUGUAUUUCCAAAUUCCAAAAACAAAUAUUUGCCAAAACCAUACAAUUUAACUUCAGAAUAAUUAUUUUUUUUGUUAGGUGAAAACACUCAUCAGUAAAAUAAUGGUGACAUUGCAAAAAGCACAAACCAAAAAAAAAGAGUUAUCUUUUUAUAUAUGUGUAAUAAGUACCUCCGGAGAAAAAAAGAAAAAAAAAGGAUUAUGAGAAGAAACUAAAAAGCUAUCACCUACGGCUCAUUUCAACGGAUCUAAAACUAUCCGACCCGAGAUUUUUAUACGGGCCGGGUGAUAACCCACCAUCUUCCUCAAGUACCCGUUUUUCUCUACUCCAAAUCCUAAACGCAACAAAAAGCAUCGCCACCGUUAAAACCAACGCAAGCACAGCGAGCACAGAUAUCCCAACCGUCAACCCCACUCGACUUUUUUUCUUUCCUACACUCUCAUGUAUCUUAAAAUAACCCACUUUACUCGCAUCCGCAACGCCCAGCAUCGUCUGGAUCGGGUAAUUAAUUAAAUAACAAAACCCGGACCCGUUAUUAUAAACCGACCCGAAACACUUACAAUCCUCAACACACAUCCCCUCACACUCUCCCAAAGACGACAUCGUUUUGUGAUCCAUCAAUUCCUUAAACGGCACUUCAACGCCUCCACGUCUCACCACUUUAAACUUGACCUUCUCAUCGCCGCCGCAAAAAUCCGCCGGCUCCGAAGUCGAGACGUGAGUACACUCUCCGUUCACCGCCGUGCCGUUGUCAAGACACGAGCAUCCCGACCCAGGCGUGCAGAGACUGUAUGGACCACAUGGAUUCGGGAGAUCGCAAGUUUCGCGGAUGGCUUCGUAGUUCAAUGCCCAUUGAGAUCCAUCCCAGAGAUAUCCCCGGAGAUUUCCGUCUGAUUCUAAUCGGAGAAUUAGAAGACCGUUGACCGGCCGUUGAAAACUGUUGAAAGCUUCGACGUCGAUUGGAGUGUUUCCGAUUUGGUACAUACCGAGAUAUCCAUUCGGGUUGAUCCGGGCGAGAAUCGGACCCGAUCCGUCUUUGACUUUGGCCUUGGCUUGAAGAGCACUGUGUUUCCAGUAAAACUGUUGAGAAUCUUCGCUGACUUUAGAGUAUAAUCCGAUAAAAUCCCUGCCUAAACGCAUCGAAUACAAGCCGUUGGGUGAAACCAAAGCCAUGGCAGAUGUGAAAUUCUGGUUCUCCACAAGGGUGUUUCUUGGAAAAUCAAAACUCUCCCACUCUACGGACGACGAUUUCACCACCUGGAGAUUCGAGUCGUUACGUAGAACGAGUCGGUCUCCAUUGGUAUGAGUUGACCAUUCUACCCUCGAAGAAGGAUCGGAAAUGACGAGGCUGCCAUUGAAGAUGAGUUUCGUCUUAUGCGACCAGCUGGCUGAACGGGUCGGGUCGAAAACCCAGAGUGGAUCCGUUAAGUUCGGGUGGGUUACGGCGAGGGAGAGGCGUGACCUGUUUACUCGUAAGAAUCCGAAGGUAAAGUUUCCGCUCGGGUCAGUGAGGAGUGGCUGGAACAACUCGACUGACGAGUCCGGUUUAGCCUCGAAGCCUUUCAUUAGCUCUAGAACCGGUUCGCUCGCGUGGACUCGAUGCCAAUUAUGAGAACAAACUAAGAAAACGAACAGCAAGAGAAAACGAGUCACGCGUGAGCUUAAACUUAAACCUUCCAUUUUUGGAAAUUUGAAAGAAACAGAGAGAAAGAGAAAGAGGUUUUUAGUUCACGGAAAUGGAAAGAGAUUGUGAUGUUUGUGAAUUCGUUCAUGCAGAGAGAAAGAGAGAGUCCAUGGCAUCAUCUCACUUGAAAAUAUAUAUAGAGAGACGCAGAUAGGUAUAUAAACAUUAGUAUAAUGAUAAACGGGAUAAAAUAUGUUUUGCCGGUAAUAUAAUAUGAAAGAAAACAAUAUUAAACGGCGUCGAUGUCGUGGGACAAAUAAUUAAAUAUUUGAAGUUGUGAUAUGAGAAAGAUAUGGUUGCCUGGUGGGAAAUAUCAGGAGGAAAUGUUAUCAUCAUACCAACCAUUAACCAUUACCCGCUAGACGCAAAUGGACCAGUUGUACAAUGCGCUAAAACCAAAUUAUUUUAAAUAAAAUCUUGAGUAAAGACAAAUUAUUGCACGCACUAAGCAUGUGUCAGAGUCAGUAUGUGUUUAUAAGUGUAUACAUACAUAGGUAAUGGUUAACUUGAUAGUAUGUUUCAAGGUGUUUAUUAAUUUAUAUUUGCCUAUGGUUUUUACGAAUUUUCUUGAUCGCGAUUUGGCCAGCCGUAUGUGGCAGCUAAUUAGCAAAAGACAAACUAAUUAAAUAAAUAGUAUGUGAACUAUUUUUCUUGUAUUUUUCUUUAUGUUUAUUUUAGAUUUCAUACAAACGAGAGAUUAUGUAAACAGUAGGCAAGGCUGUCCAAAUGUGAUCGACCCAGGCGCGCCUGAAUCCGAAAACAUGUUUGCAUACACAAAUUUAUGAAAUGCCUUACAAAUUGACAAGGGAAAUCUAGAAGAUUAGGUGUUAAAUGGAAUGGAGUUAGGACAAAAGUCGCACCAAAUCUUAGAGGGUCAAAAGAUUCAAGCUCUUCAUUAGUUUCUCUCCAUUUACCUGUCAGGCCGUUGAAUCUCUCUCAAGUCGCAGCUUUCUUUUCAGAGAGCUGUAGCUGCAACUUGCAAUCUUAUUUACACCAAUUAAAACUUCUGGACCAUGGAUGAUACAGGCAUGCGUUAUGUCAACAUAAAAUGAGUUUGAUGCAUGAAAUUGCAUAUUAGGUUCGCAUAUAAAUAUAAUUUGAACACAACAUCAAAUUUUACUUCUCAAACAAACAAACAAAAAUUAUUCAUAGGGUGUCCAAAGGUGGAACAAGUAAAAAUGAAUUCGACUUCAAAUUUAAAACCGUACAUAUACCAAUUAGACCGAACUACAAUCAAAUUAGUCUACAAUGUAGUUUGGUUGAAUAUUUAUACUAUACGUUAAAGUAUACUUUUGAUAGAAACUAAUUUAAACAAAACAUAAUUAAAUUUUUUGAACUAAACGAGACCAAACUAUCUAGUCUUCUCCUAUAGAAAUGAUAAUGUCUUUUUGGAUAUUAGUAUAAUUUUUGCAUUCAUAUACAAGAAAAGUUCAAAAUGAUUUAUAUCACAAUGAUGGGUGAGUUAUUAUCAAGUCACAUGGAUUGACUUUGAAAAGAUUCAUUAAAUGUGAGGAGUUGACUUAUUGGCGGGAGGAUAUGUGUGAAUGUAUCGUAAGUUCGUAACUAGCGCAUCCAAAGUCUAACCAGUUGAGAUUUUGACUUACUUUCUCUAUUUAUUUAAAAUAAAUAUUUUAUUUAUUAGUAUUUGUUUGUGUUGACAUCAUUUAAGUUCAACCAUGCAACAACUCUUUUGUUACCUUCCCUCCGUUUUCCUUCCUUUAAGAAUCCAAACCCCCCAAUAGUUUAUUUUCAUUCCAAACCUAAUCGCCGUUUUAUCUAUGUUGACGCCGUGCUUACCUAAGAAAAGAAAAACAUCCGCCUACAGCAUCUAAAUAAAGUUCUUUUAAAAAAAAAAUGAAAGGGGCAUUUUUUUUAUCAGUUUCUUUUCAUUGGCCUGAAUAAAAUAAAUAUAGAAACACCAUCUCGUUGGGUAAGCAAAAAGAUGGGUCUUCCACCGGGCUUCCUAAGUAACAAACAAAAUACGGAAAUAAUUGUUAAUCGCUUUUUGAAAAAUUGGGUAAGCAAACAAUUCUUUGUCUUGAUUACUAUGAAAAAUAAGGAAACAAACUCACUACAAGAAAGAGGGGCUUUUCCGUCGAAUUAUUACGACGAUUCGUAGUCGUCGUAAAUUUACGACGACAUUACGUCGUAUUUACGACGAUCAAAAAUUUCGUCGUAAAUUCGACGUAAAAAAUAACCCUCGUAAAAUCGUCGUAAUGUUACGACGAUAUUACGACAAGAUUACGACGAAUUUUAUUUCGUCGUAAUCUUGUCGUAAUAUUUACAUCGAUAAUACGACGAAUUGUCCUCUAUCUUGUAAUUGACGUAAAAUCAAUGUAAAUGUGAUGUAAAUUUUAUUUCGACGUAAAUUUCAUGUAAAAAUGCAAUGGUAAUAUGUUGGUAACCAAACAAAAAAUUCUAUAUAUACCUCUUCUUCUCUCAUUAUUCCAUCAACCCAAAAAAACAUAUAAAGACACAAAUUUUUUGAGUCUUUGAAUGUUUAAGUAAAAUUUUUAGUAGUUGAAAUUUCUAUCAAAUUUCAGAAACAAAAAGUCAAAUAUUUGUUUUUGAAAUAUAAUGUCUAUAUACGAUCUACGAAAGUGGAUGUAUACGCCCAAAAAUGGUGAUGGGUCGUUGACUGAAGACUUCAAAAACGGAUUGGAAAUAUUCAUGUACCAAGCCGGCCUUCUGGAAACUGUAAUUGAAAGCGGCAAAAUGUAUUGUCCUUGUGUGAAAUGCAAAAAUAGGAAACAUAUUCUUAUUGACACUGUCUGGCAGCAUUUAUUGAAUAGAGGGUUCAUGCCCCAAUACUUUAUUUGGUAUCAGCAUGGAGAGGGAUAUGGUCAAAGUAGUGGUCAGAUGGCUGCACGGAGUACUAGUAAUCAUCAAGAACAUGUGGAUUUUGUAGCGUCCAAUGAUUAUCAAAGUAGUCAAGUUCAGGGUGAAGAUCAUGAUAGGAUGCAUGAAAUGAUUACUGAUGCAUUUCAUGAAACACAUGCUGAUACUGUUGAGGAGCCCAAUGCAGAUGCGAAACGCUUUUAUGAUAUGUUAAACGCAGCAAAGCAGCCUCUGUACGAGGGAUGUAGGGAAGGUUUAUCAAAAUUAUCAUUGGCAGCUCGGAUGAUGACAAUAAAAACAGAUCACAAUCUAUCUGAAGUUUGCAUGAACGAUUGGGCAGAUCUUAUUAAAGAGUAUUUGCCAGAUGAUAAUUUGGCUGCUGAAACGUAUUAUGAAAUUCAGAAGCUGGUUUUUAGUCUUGGAUUGCCUUCUGAGAUGAUUGAUGUUUGUGUUGAUAAUUGUAUGCUUUUUGGAGAGAUGAUGAGAAGCUUGAAGAAUGUCGUUUCUGCCAAAGCCAAGAUAUAGACCACAAAUUGCUGGGCGUAAGAAGAUUCCUUACCAACGAAUGUGGUAUCUUCCUAUCACUGAUAGGUUAAAAAGACUAUAUCAAUCCGAACGGACAGCUGCGUCGAUGAGAUGGCAUGCAGAACAUUCACAAACAGAUGGCAAAAUGACUCACCCGUCUGACGGGAAAUCUUGGAAACAUUUUAACACCGUACAUCCAGACUUUGCUAGGUCUAAGCGAAAUGUUUAUCUUGGUCUUUGCACUGACGGGUUUAGUCCAUUUGGUAUGUCUGGUAGGCAAUAUUCAUUAUGGCCUGUGAUUCUUACGCCAUAUAACCUUCCUCUAGAUAUGUGCAUGCAAAGAGAGUUUUUGUUUCUAAGUAUAUUAGUCCCUGGUCCAAAUCACCCGAAGCGGGCACUUGAUGUGUUUUUGCAACCACUCAUACAUGAGUUAAACCAGUUGUGGCAUGUUGGAGUACGAACAUAUGAUUGUUCGAGUGGUAAAAAUUUUACGAUGCGAGCGGUGCUUAUGUGGACAAUAAGCGAUUUCCCGGCAUACGGAAUGCUAUCAGGUUGGACAACGCAUGGGAGGUUAUCAUGUCCUUAUUGUCUUCAUAGGACUGAUGCAUUUCAGCUUAAACAUGGUAGGAAAACCUGUUGGUUUGAUUGCCACCGUCGGUUUUUACCACCAAACCAUCAAUAUAGAAGAAAUAGGCGUUUGUUUAUAAAGAACAAAUUGGUUCGUCUCCCUCCACCAGUGUACCUAACUGGAGUAGAGCUUGAAGCGCAAAUAGAUCAUUGGGGUGGACUUGAAACGGUCCCCCUUGGAGGAAAUUGGCACACUCCUGCGAAUAUGCCUGACGGAUAUGGGGUUCAUCAUAAUUGGCACAAGAAAAGUAUAUUUUGGGAUCUGCCUUACUGGAAAGAUCAUUUGCUUAGACAUAAUCUUGAUGUUAUGCACAUUGAGAAGAAUUUUUUCGAUAACAUCAUGCAUACUGUUUUGAACGUCCAAGGAAGAACCAAAGACAGCGUUAAAUCACGGAUGGACUUACCCGAUAUAUGUAACAGAAUUGAGUUGCAUAUGGUGAGUAAUGGGAAAGCACCUGUUCCUGUAUUUCGGUUGGGUGCUGAACAAAAAACAGCUUUGUUUAAUUGGGUAUCAUCAGCCGUGAAAUUUCCUGAUGGAUAUGUAUCUAAUCUGGCUAAAUCUGUGGAUAAAGGACAAAAGUUUUCAGGGAUGAAAAGUCAUGAUUGUCAUGUGUUUAUGCAACGGUUACUUCCUUUUGCGUUUGCUGAACUCCUACCGGGACAUGUCCAUGAGGCACUAGGAGGCAUUGGAGCUUUCUUCCGUGAUCUAAGUACAAGGACAUUAUCAGAAGAUGUAGUUGCACAACUGUCUACAAAUAUUCCAAUAUUGUUGUGCAAUUUAGAGAAAAUAUUCCCACCUGCUUUCUUCGAUGUUAUGGAACAUUUACCUGUACACCUCCCUCAUGAAGCAGAGUUGGGAGGACCUGUUCAGUUUAGGUGGAUGUAUCCGUUUGAACGAUUUAUGAAGCAUUUGAAGGGUAAGGCCAAAAACUUAGCAAAAGUUGAAGGGUCUAUCGUGGCGGGAAGUCUGACAGAAGAGAUUUCUCAUUUCACGUCUUAUUACUUUGCUCCAAAGGUUCGUACACGCAUGAUUUGAACGUUUCACUGUAACAUUUGUCAAAUUUAAAUUUUUGUUUAUAUAAGCUUCUUGUUUUCAUUUCUUGGGGACCCGGUUAGAAAAUUUAUCAAGUGAUCCACCAUACCUCUAUAAUAUGAAGAUUGAAAAUUUGUUUAUGUGUUGACUUGAACAUAUGUUGACUUUUACGACGAAUUUACGACGAUUAUUAAGAAAUCGUCGUAACUUCGUCGUAACAUGCAAACCCUAAACCCUAUAGGGUUUAGCUUUCCCAACUUACAAAAUGGUUUUUGGGUUCAUUUUCCUAAGUAAACUGAUGUAUUAUAUAAGGGUCUGUAUUGUAAGGUUCAAGAACUUGUAGAAAUGUGGUUUUUAUUACGACGAAUUUACGACGAAUGGGAGUAAUCGUCGUAAAUUCGUCGUAAUAUACCAUCGAGAUUACGACGAAGUGUAACCCCUAAAUCUUAAAAUCAAUCUUUUAUGGGGUUCUGGGGGGGAUUUUGAUGAAGAGAAUGAAAUGGCUUACCAUCUCAUAAGGUAAAACAACUUUCUAAACAAAAAAAAAAAAAAUUCUAAAAUUGACAUAUAUGUGUUUAUCAAGUAAUCUUAAGGUGUUAUAUACAUUUACACAAGAUGUAUGGAUUUAUCUUACAUCUUACUAAAACCUUCAUUAAGUUAUGUAAACAUGUUAGAAAGUUAUACACACCACAUUUAUCAUGAAUAGACAUGCUUGUAUGUCCUUAUGGAUGUUUCAAUUUUUGAAUUUCAUCAGUUUUGUAUAGUUUGUCGUUAAUUCGUCGUAAUAUUACGACGAAUUUACGACGAUAUGUGUAUACACAGCCAUUUUAAUUUUAAUGAUUUAUACGAUUCGUCGUAAAUUGGUCGUAAUGUUACGACGAAUUUACGACGAAUAACACGGAUCGUCGUAAAUUCGUCGCAAAGUCCAGAUACACCCACGUGUGUUUGUCUUAUUCGCUUUGUGUACGGUGGGAACUUUGCGACGAAUUUACGACGAAUUCGUCGUAAAUUCGACGUAACAUUUACGUCGAAUUUACGACGAAUAUAAAUUCUAUAUAUAGGACCUCACCCCUUCCUCAUUUCGUCGCUCAUCUCUCCUUCCUCUCUCGUUGUCUCUGCUUCCUCCUUCCCACCUCCUCCUUUCGACGCAGAAAAAAAGGUAAAUAAUUUUUUUUAAUUAUUUCAAAUUAUAAUAAUUUUAAAUAGUUUAGAAAUUCAAACGGUUUAGGUCGGGAAUUAGUUUAGGCUCGGAAUUUGUUAGAUUUAGGAUCAGAAUUUGUUAGAUUAAGGAUCGGAAUUUGUUAGAUUUAGGAUCGACAUUGUAAUUAAUUUGAAAAAUAAUUUUUUUCCGUUUUGCAGACGAUGCCUCGACGGAAGACGCAUUACAUCAAUUUCAUGGCGGACGGACAUUCUUCCCGGGCGUCUGCCUCGGGAAACACCGAGACCGAUGUCCCUUCCUCAUCUUCCGGAGCCUCUCAGGUUUCGAAUACCGCGGAGCCGUCUCCACCACCGCCUCCACCACCGCCUCCACCACCGCCUCCUCCACCGGCUCCCGAACCGGUACCCGCCCCGGCUGCCGAACCGGUACCCGUCCCUCCUCAUCCGUAUGCCCAGUUUACGGUUGAGGAUUUACUAGCCUUACCGGGACGGGGGGCUUUACGACGUCUGGUUCCCGGAAAAGCGGAACCAGGCUCAUUUUGGUAAGUAAACUUUUUUGUUUUUUAUAGUUUUUAAAUUAACGCUUUAAUUUACUUAAAUAUUAAUGUAAUAAUUUUUUUUUUGUUUCAUAGGUUUACUUUGGAUAAUUGUGUCGGUCGGAGCGUUUCCGACUGCAUUAAGAGUCAUUUCGUGGAGCCGCACUACAAUUGGAGCAAGGUGUCGCAAGAGACGUGCGACACCUGGUACAAGUGCUUCGCGGUAAUAUUUUUAAAUAUUAUUUAUAUCAUUUUAAAUUGUUUUAAAUUUAAUUAAUCUUACUUUUAUAUUGUUUAUCUAAUUUUUUGUUUUCUUUUGCAGCAACGGUGGAAUUGGGACAUCGGGAUCAACGAGACGGUCCGCGAUGCUUUCGUGGAAAAGGCGAAGAAACGCCUAGUCAACACCGUUUCCGAUUGGAAGCGGAAAUGGGAGACCGACGGCGACGACGCAAAGCCGAGCUCCAUGUCCACUUGGUGUUGGAACGGGUUGAAGGCGUAUUGGGUGGACCCGCAUGCCCAAGCCACCGCUGCUAAGUGUUCGGCCGUCCGAAACCGGGUCGAUCCGGUGACUGGUGAGAAGUUAGUGACCCCGCACACUUCUGGCCAAGUAUCUUUUGCGGGAAGACGUCUCAUGAUGGUAAGUAAUUAAAUAUAAUUUAUUUCAUUAUUAUUUUAAUUUUAUUUAUUACUAUAAUUUAUUAAAUAUUUUUGACUAAUAAUGUUUAUUAAUUGGUAGGCCGAGGAGAACGGAGGAGAACUACCUCCAAUGACGAAGCUCUUCGAGACCACUCACCGGAAGAAGGACGGGAGCUUUGUCGACGCUCGGUCCGAGGAGAUCUACAAUGCCGCUAUGCAGCGGAUCGCCGAGCGGGAGACCCAGGCCACACUUGACGGUACUAUCCACGUACCGUUGACCGUCGCUGAGCAAGACCAGAUUUUCGAAGAGGUAUGAUCUAUUUCAAUUUUUUAAAAAUUUAUUAUAUUUAUAAUUACUUCAUAAAUAAUUAACGUUUUUAUUUUCCAUUUGUAGGUCGCUCCGAAGAAGAAGGGCCAAACAUUAGGGAUGGGCUCUAUUAGAGACUGUCCUGCCGCCACGGCUUCCGGAUUCCACCGCCCGCAGGAUCCGCAGCUUCGCCAGGAGCUUGCUACGGCCAAUGCUGAGAUCACCACUCUCAGGCAUGAGCAAGUGGCCCAGAAGCAGGAGCUCACCGAGAUCCUUGAUCUCUUCGACAUCAUUGCGGAAGCGGUUCCGCAGUUGGCCACCGCAAUCCGAGCGAGGCAACAACGAGCACGGAGGGUUUUUGAGACCGGAGCUACUUCGGGUACUGGACCCUCGGACCCGCAGACGCAGGGCGGUCAGACUUCGGCUCCGGUCCCAGCAGUGACGGGCGGUCAGUCUUCGGCUCCGGUAGUGCAGACGGAAAACGUCGGUCCAGCAGCGACGGGCGGCCAAGACGGAGAGCUUCCUCGUGACGUCGAUCUCAACCUCGACGAUUACGACUUUGUAUAGAUUAGGUUUUUUGUAAAAAACAAUUUGUAGUAAUUUUUUUUUAUUUAUAAAUUAUUUUUGAAUUUAAAUUUCAAAUUUUUUCUAUUUUUAAUUUUUUUAUUAUUUAAAAAAUUCAUUAAUUAAAUUUAAAUCGAAUUAAAUAAUUAAUUUAUUAAAAUCGAAUUAAAUCGAAUUAAUCGACGUAAAUUCGUCGUAAAUUUACGUCGAUCUAACGUCGAAAAAUUUAACGACGAAUUUACGACGAAUAUCUUUACGUCGGAUUUACGUCGAAAAUUUACGACGAUUUAACAUCGAUAAUUAAAAAUUUAUUUUUCCCUUAAUUGAAAUUCUUCGUCUCCUAAUCGUUGUUAAAUCGAUGUAAUUUUACAUCGAUUUUACGUCGUUCUUAUGAUGGAGUUAUUUCGUUGUACAUCCGUUGGAAAUUUUACGUCGCAUUUACGACGAAUUGUUUCCGACGAUUUUACGACGAUUUUCCGGAGUUGGUAAUUUUACGACGAUUUUACGACGAUUUGGGUUUUACGACGAUCGUUUUACGACGAAUUGUAAUUCGUCGUUAAUUCGACGUAAAUGUUCUUUUACGUCGAAUUUACGUCGAUAUCUGCCGACGUAAAAGCCGAUCUUUCUUGUAGUGACUGUCACGAAUCGCGACUAUAUAAGCUAUUCAACCUCGUGUCUCUCUCUCUCUAUCUAAUCACGUUCCAAAACCCAGCGACUUUUAAUCUCUAAAUCAAGCAAAAAUUUUAUAAAAAAAAAAAACAUGUUCUAAUGUUAUUUACCCCCAACUUUUCCGUUGAUUAUGAUUGUAUAUCCUUCCCACCCGUAGCCAUUGAUCACAGUCAUAGCCGCUAGGAUGUUGUGACGUAGCUCUCUCACUUACCUGGAUUACUACUCUCAAUUAAUCGCCCAGAAGAUAUGAUGAUGAAAAAAAAAUAGAAAAAGAGAUGUUGACAGUGGGAUUUGAACCCACGCCCUUUCGGACCAGAACCUUAAUCUGGCGCCUUAGACCAACUCGGCCAUAUCAACAUUUUGCUAUUAUGGUUCCCUAAUAUACAUAUAUAUAUAACAGAAAAAGAACUUUACAUAAAACAACAGAGAGCUCAGAAGACUGAUUAAAAAAGAACAAAAUUACAAUUUUAAAGCACAUUAAGAGUAUAAUCUUCGUCAACGUUAAAAUCUAAUUAAUUUAGUUCCACUUAAAUUAUAGAAUUGUUCAUGUUAUUACAUUUAUAAAAAAAAAACAAAAAUCAGCCACAACGAACCAAUAUAAAUGCUUUCAAAAACCAGAUUAGGCAGAAUUUACAAAAAUUGCAAUCAAAUCAUUAAAGCAUUAAUGACAAGGACUACCACCAAAAUCAAAGUUAAAGUCGUGAGGGUCUUUUUUAUUGUCUGUUUUUUUCAUCGCAAUUGAUGUAAUGAAUGGACACAGCACAAUUCUUAUCUAAGACAAAAACGAUACGUAAACCUAAAAGUUUUUAUUAGAAUCUCGAUUUGUCUGCUUACUGCAAAAUAGAAUACGAUAAUGACUCCCGUCAAGUAAUCAAAUUUGGCUCGUGAUCUAUUCUAUAUUCUUUGCCACACAAAAUUGGUUUUGUCAAAGAUAGAUCCACAUUCCUAAAUGAUGUGACGCUAUUGUAAGCUUUAACUGAGACUCAUAUCAUUAACUUUCGCGGUUCAAGAUUCCUUUUUGCAUUAUUUUACAUAACUUUUAGGUUAUUUUUUUCAAAUAUCAGUGAUUCAGUGCGGGAGUAUAUAUUGGUGAUUAAAGUACAGAAAACCAAUUAAAAUCCGAACUGUAUACGGAGAAAGUAUAAAGACUCACAGUUUAUAAAGGUUAUAUGUGAAGCUAGUCUUGAAAAAGUUUACAUUUACAUAACCAAAAACAAAACAAUGGGAAACAAAUUAAAGGAAGAGGAGACUUAGAGACAUGAAUAAUAGUAUAGUAAUUUUGUGUAACGUCAAAAGAGAGUGCGUACGUUUUGCUUUUGGCAUUACAUUACACAAUCAACGAGGAAGAAUCUUUUUUUUCUCGUGGGUGGGAUAUCGCCAAAUGAGUUGUGCCAACUAGAAAACAAUUACAUGUUAAAAGUAGCACUAGUAAAGAACAUAAUGAGUAAUUACCUUACUAAUUAGUCUAUUUCAAAAACAAUUUUUUCUUUGGAAGAGGAGAACUCAUAACUAGAUUUUGUAAGUAAAUAAUUGUAAAUAGUUGAUGUCUAGAUGUUUCGUUUAAAAGAUCGAAUUUGAUUGAAAUUCUUUUCUGAGAAAACGCAAAACUAGAUUUGAAUAUGAGUUCUCUUUGAAUAUACCAAAUGUAAUGUUGAUACAAACUCUCUGUAACAAGAGGUUGUCGUCUAGUUGUUUUGUCGGGUUGAUGAGUUACUCACUCUUUUUUUUUGGGUUCACAUAUGAAGUUACUGACUCAUUUCUCUCUAGAUGUAAGGGUUUUUAUAAGAUGGGAUCCACUCCACAACACACUAGAGAUGGGCAUAAACGUAAAUGUAACGAGCAUGUGAGAGAUCUACACGUAUAUUUAAACUUUGACUGUUCUUCUUCUUCUUCCUCUCUGGAAAAAAUAAUCUAAUAAAAAAUGGAGAAGAAACUUGGGAUUAUGUUCUUCCUUUUUGCUCUUCUUCUUCUUCAGUUAUCUGGGAUUCGUACAGCUCAACGUCCUUUGCAAGUGGAUAAAGAAGGUACUCUAUGCCAUAUAUAUACACCCAUGCAUCAUCAUGCAUGUCUAUGAUAUUUCAUAUAUCUAUGUUGAAUGUAUAUGCGUAUACGAAUUGACGAAUUCACAGGCUUAAUUAGGACUUUUGGUGUAUGUAUACUAUAUACUUAGAUUUGUAGUGCGGUCGUUUGGAAAAUAUUGUUAAGUUAAACCACAAAAAGAAAAUAUUGUUUCCGAAACAAUGAGAGUUAUUGUUCUUUUUAAGCGGGGAUCAAAAUUUGCUUUAUAAAUAUAAAUCUAUGACAGAUCAUUCAGAAAUUUAGAGCUUGACACUUUCAAAGAUCUUAAUGUGAAUCGUCGAACUUGGAUCAUACUCGAUAAAAAUCUAGCCAAUAAUCGCACUUGGAUGGCUUUGAAUUUAAGAGUUCUUUCGAUUUUGAUGCUCUUGUUGUUGAUCUCUCUCACCAAUUUUCACAUAAAGGAAACACGAAUAAUAAUUGGGCUUGGGCUACACAAGCAGAUAAGGCAUCCGAGGUUGCCCAAGAGUUAUCGCAUGUAAACCACUUUUACCCAUCUUAUGUUUUUAUUCAAUAAAAUUUGUUUUUUUUUUUGGUCCUGAAUUGUGGUUUAUAUAUAUAAGCUGAUGGGAGAAGAGAAGUGUGAGGAGACCGAUGAAGAGUGUAUGAAGAGAAGGAUGAUCACUGAAUCUCACUUGGACUACAUCUACACUCAAAGCCACAACAAGCCUUAAGUAUCCCCACCUUUAUUUAUUCAUUUAUCAUCAUUAGUAUUACUAUUGAAAUUUAAAAUGUACCAAUUAGUAUGAGUAAUUCAAAACUAACUCUAAAGUGUUUGUUAUAAAACUAGAGGUAAAAGAAAAAAUAAACAAAAGAAUCGUAUUGUUGCAACAAAAUAUAAAUGUAAAACAAAGAAUGUCAUUUAAACUCUAAAGAGUUGUACUGUGAUCUUGGUUGUAUGCGAAUAUGUGAGAUAAUUUUAUUUUAAUCACAUUUGAUAAAAAUGUUUAGAACAUUUUCUGAUUUUAUAAAACGUUUUUGUUUAGUACAAACGAAAAAAAGAAAUUUGUUUACAAAUAACGCAAAAAGAAAAAAUGACUUGGCGGGAAAAAAUAUAGAUGUAAAACAGAGUCUGAAGCUAAGAAACUAUGUUUUCCGGUCUGUCACUUGUAUAAAUUAUAAUGGGAUGGUACCAACUACCAAGACAUAAAACAUACCUGGAGGCUGGAUCAUGAAGAUUUAUUUUCCAUGGAUGAUAUGGUGAUAAGUAUCAAUAAAACCAUUCCUCAGAGAAGCAAGGUUCCACUACAGACCUGCAACAUUCGAUUACUCCAGCAGAUAAAACCUAUGUAGUUAGAAGUUAGAACCCCCAAAAACACAGAACAAAAGGAUAGUACUGUGUUGUUAUCCGCUAAAAUUAAAGUUAAGAGACACAAAUUCUGAAUAAGAAGGGCACAAUCAAACUCAUUAAUUAUCUAUAUAUAUAUGUAUAAAUGUGCAUUCAAAAUGAAAUAAUCAAUUAAUAGUUCAAUUUUUGGUUUAAACUAUAUGGAAGCUCUUUAAGGAUCAUCUGUUGGCAUAUUAUCAUCACCAGUUGGCCAACUGAAAUCUGCAGCAAACUGUUCCCAACAUACAUCAGGCAAACCACCAGUUGCUGUUUCUGCAACAGAACCAAACUCUGAGACAGUAUAGUCCACUGUGUUUCCCCAUACAUCCAGCGUAGUAGCAUCGAAACCCAUACUCCAUGUCUCUUCUUGUUUGAUAAUAGCAUCUACUUCUGCAGGAGAUGAGAAUGAGACUAAGUUAUCUGGAAUCAUCAUCUCUUCUUCUUCUGAUGGAUUCAUCAAGUUCUUGCCUUUCGGAUCGGUUCCUUCUUGUCUCGAGAGUGGGAAGUUCUCAAUCUCUUCGUCAGACAUUAACAAUCUUUCCCAGUCAUCAGCUUCAUACUUCACAAUCUCACCUCCUGUUGGAGAAUCUUGAUGCUUGAUGAACUUCCUUCUCGCCUUUUCAGAUCCAAGAGCUCCUCCUCCUCCUCCUCCUUUGAGAUUCUUAAGACGUUCCAAGAAACCCGGGUUCUGAAACAACUUGGCCAAGAAAGAAAGCAAUUGCUUCUGCCGUUGCUCUGCAGCUCUCAGCCUCUGGUUCACAGUGUCCAUGUGGCGAGCUGUGCCUCUGUGGUGCUGCUGAAGCUCUACCAUUUCCUCCAUCAAUGCACGCCGCUCUUUCCUCAGCUUCUCUAUCUCUCCUCCGACCUCUGUAGGUGACCCUUGGCUUUGGCUGCUGCUACUGCUGCAAGUUUGGUUGGAUUGUGGUGAUCGACGACGAUGAAUGUUCUUCAGAAGAUGCUUCUUGCCUCUAAGGAAUGCCUCGUUAGCGAACUCCCACUUGUCAGUAUCAAUCUUUCGGAAUCCCUGAACACAUUUCAACCCCAAAAAACGACUCAAGAAAGAAUAACAAAAAGUUAAAUACCUCAACACAAUCACAUCAAGAUCGCACCAGCAGAAUGGGUCUGUGUAAUCAUCAUCAGAAGAUUCUAACGUUUAAGAGCGAAGAACGUAGGAGUAGUUUCUUAAACCAGAUUUCUCCAUUAACAAGAAACCAUAGUUAUACAAGAGUAUUUGAUCAUCUCAUCUCAACAAGAUUACAUGAGCAGAUAAUAGGAUAAAAUAUACAACAAAAGCCAGAAUUUAUUGGUACAAAAUUCAUUGUUACAUGGUGGAGAUUGCACAAAUCCCAAAAAGAAACACAAUUACAGAUAUUUACAAUUAUAAAAGAACCAGUUCAAGAAUCUAUACAAUAUGUUUUUGUUCAUCAAAAAGAUUACAGAAACAUAGAAAUAUAAAAAACAAAGAAAUUGAAAGAAGAAACAGAGAAAGAAAGAACAAAACGGGUAAAAAGAAGAAUGAUCAUUCAAAAGAAGAAUCUAUCUAAAUAUCUAAUCAAGAAAACAAAAGCAGAGAAACAGAUUAGUCCACAUUACAGGGGAUACCCACAUAAGUGUUAAGCUGUCUGACGAAGCUGGAGAAAUUGUUGUGUUUGAAAUUCUUAGGGAGUACGAUUCUGGCAAACUCGAGUGGGUCCCAAACCACGAAACUCGCUCCGGUCAGUCCCCAAGAUAUAACCGGGUCGAGUCUCGGGUCAUCCACCAAAUCGUAUGUCUUCGAUAGAAACGGCGGAAUCGGAUUCCCCUGCAAGAUCGGGACUGGAGAACACAUGUCUGUGUCGACGUAGAGAGACCCGGGUAUGGUGGAUUCGGGUCGGGUCGAAACGGGUAAUGAGAUU
rnacentral:lncRNA from 1 species